rnacentral:lncRNA from 1 species
GUACUUGGAAAAAUUAAGUUGACACUACCAUACUUAACCAAAAAAGAUAGUAAAAAUAAUAAUUUCACAAAUUUUCUGUAAAAUAUGACAAAUAAGGUAAACACCAAAUACCUUUAAUACCUUUACGAGGAAACCUCAGAAGGAAGGAUAGAUAGUAAAAAAAGAAGCAAAUAAGGUAAGCAGAAAUCAGUAAGCUAAUUAAAGCUCUACAAAACUUUGAGAUGCCUCAAAAUUCUAGUUCGCGCUAAAAUGAAGCAACUACAUGUACUAUUGACAAGCUCUUCAAAUUAGAUGUAUUAUUGCUAUUUUUUGACAUCUCUUUGCAAUAACAAAGCUUCUUAAGGCGCAUAUGUCGUGAUUGUGCAUACCUUUUUCUUGACAUUAGUGCCUCUUGAUUAUGCAGAAAUUUAUUCUUCAAGGAAGAUUCAUUUUUGGACCUGAUGUCAGGUCAGUCUUUAUGACUAUCUUCCUAAUAGUCGCCCCAGUUGCUGUUUUUUGUGUCUUUGUUGCGAGGAAACUGGUGGAUGAUUUUUCUGGUGACUGGGGGUGGUCGAUUAUGGUUGUAGCCGUUGUUUUCUCAGUAUAUGUAAGUGUAUAUUUUUGCUCCCACUGACAAUAUCAUUUGGAUUUUGCUUGUGUUUAAUCUUCCAAUUUAGAAAUUAUAUAGGAUUUCUUUUUCUUCUAUAAUAAGUGAAUUUAUUGGAUUGGUUUGUUAAGAGUCUUUGUUCUUUUUGACUCUGUGCCAUUGAUUCCAUUAUUAUUAGUGAAGCAUAUUGGAGCAAUUCCUUUAUAUUUAUACAGAUAGGGGACAUAAUUCAUAUGGAUAUAAUAAGUUUUGCUAGGGCUGCUUUAUGAAAUAUCUUACAUGAUUGCUGGAUUGCUGUGUGUCCUUCUCAAUACCAUGAUGUUAGUUCAUCCUAAAAACUUGACUUCUUUCCCUAAUAGUUUGACUGCCUGUUCCUUGGCCAAUGUUGUUCAUUUUUCUCCGGUUAUUCCUUUUCCUGGUUACAUGAUUGUAAUUUAAUAUUGACAUUGGAUGAUGAAGUGAGUAUGAUAGAAACCAAGAUGAAAAUAAAGCUUUACUGAUUAAAUGAAGUGCAAGAAUCUUAAACACUGCAUUAAUCAAUAACUAAGUCCGUAUGGAGUGGACAAAUCUCCAAAUAUAAAAACAAAUAAAAUAAUUUUCUUCUUCUUACCGGAUCUCUGCUAGAUACAUAUAUUUAUACUAAACAUAAAGAUAACUCUUGACACAAAAAUAGUUACUGCUGUAGAUAACUGCCUAAUAACUACUGUAGAUAACUGCUAACUGCUGCCUAUAACUAUUAUACAUAACUAAGAUAUACAAGUAGUCGUGUCAGAGUAGUUGGAAACGAUAUGUGAUGAGCAUACUUAUUUUGCACCAGUAGCUGGAACCUGGAGCAGACAUGGUUAUAUAUGGCAGAAAGCUUUUGUGAUUGUGAUGAUUUAAGAUUUCUGAUUUUAAUUGUAAUGGAUGUCGGCAUUUAUAACUUUGUACCUCAGACACAUUUUAAAGUAAGAACACUAUCUGAAUAGUUGAAGACAUUGCUAAGUACUUGGCUCUUUUGAUAUGCCCGUAAAAAAGUGUUGGAUCGAUGAUAAUGUCAAUGUGUCUACUCAAAAGUCAAAACAAGGGUUGGAUAUAUCAUGGCCAGACAGUGCAGCUUAUAUUUUGAAGAUGUGUGGGCUUUCAAAUAUUUAGUCCAUGUUCUUCCAGUUUUUCUGGUUGCACAAACCGAACCACUGCCCUUAACAGAUAUGGAUGUUGUUUUCGAAAGAGUGUUUACUAGACUCUAUUGGUAUUGUUGAUCAACAAUUAUAAUCAUCUGGGCAAAAAGGGCGUGGUGUAUUCAAACAAAGUGAAAGUCCUUUUACAAAGAGCAUGAGGGAUCUAGCAUUGUCUCAGUGUAAUUAGAAGCUAGGGAGGAGAGAGCCAAUAGUUUUUGGCCCUUCAUGGUAAACAAGGUUUAUGCAAUCCCAAGCUAGGAAGGGAAUAGGCACGUAUGUUUCUGAAGGUAGAGCAGUGAUGCGAUCCUUGUGCAAGUCCAUAUAAAAGCUGCUGUUAAUUUGGGAGAAUCAAGCUAGUCUGCUAUUGCAACGGAGAUCAUAAUGACGAAGUUUAAAAAACGGUGAAGAUUGUAUAGUGCAUCUUUGGGGUAAUGUAUCACUGCUACUUUCUGUUGACAAAAGUUAAGAUUUAUAAAUCUUUUCUCCAGCUAAAGUUAGCUUUGAAGGUCUUCAGGGAUGGGCCAUUAUGUGAAGACCGAGCAUGAGAGUCUAACUAGGAAGUCAGUGAACUUGCUGGAGUUGAAAAAAAUCCUUCUUGUUCUCAUUAGUUUUAGAAGCAGAACACAUCGAUUGCCAACAGUUUGAGAAGUUUUGUACUUCAUUCUCAAAAAAAUGACACUUGAGAUAUGCUUGACAGUUUAACAUUGCAUGGUGUUUUGAAGAGAUUCAACUAAUUUAUGAGGAACCUAGGGAAUCUUGAGGAGAAGAAUUGUAGUUAAAUAUUCAUUUAUUGGUCUAGAGUGGCUUUUUCUUCUUAAGAAAUAACUGAAAUGACAGAAUCUUUUACCAUAAAUGGAAUUCCCCUUUCUUUGGUUUACAGAUAUAAAUUUUUUAACAAAUCCACAUUUCUAACUGGACACAUAAAAAGUUUAUGCCCAAAAAUAGAGAUAAUAAUAUGUACCUUCUAUGCGGUUCAAUUUUAGGUAGCAGAAAUGUGCCAGAUUUCAUUGCGCUUUCUCCGUGUGCAGAAUUGCAAUAGUUGGAAUUUUCUCCCUUACUUGAUCUUUUACUGUGUUGGCCAUACCUUAGUGCUUUGGUAAUACUGGCUUUAUUUUAGCUUUCUAAAGCAUUACUCCUUGCAUCUCAUCUUGUUUUUGCGUUAGUUCAUCAUGAAAAAUUUGAAGUUGCUUGAAUAUUCUCUGCCGUACAAGGGAGUGAAACUAGGUUCUUGUAGUCUUAUGUUUACUUUUUUUAUAUCACAUAAGGUAGAACUUUGUUUUCCCAGAGCACACAACGUAACAGAUAACCUUCUGAAUUAUUAGUGGGAAAAAGUUCAUAAUGUUUCAGGCUGAUGUUUUCAAACAAAUUAACUAUUUACUAGGUAGUUUUUACUGUAUCAGUACAUUACUACUACAAAAUUGUGUAGAUUUAUGAGUCAGAACAUAUAAUCAUCAUCAUUUUUUUUUUGACAAAGGUCAUAGUGCUUCUUCUACUGACUUCUGGAAGAGAUCCCGGUAUAGUUCCUCGCAACCUUCAUCCUCCAGAACCAGAAAACUUUGAAGGGAGUGCUCUAGCUGGACCUGGUCAAACUCCCCAAUUACGUUUACCACGCAUCAAGGAUGUGACUGUCAAUGGAAUAACUGUGAAAACCAAAUAUUGUGACACCUGCAUGUUGUACAGGCCUCCACGUUGUUCACAUUGUUCAAUUUGUAACAACUGUGUGGAACGUUUCGACCAUCACUGCCCCUGGGUUGGACAAUGCAUUGGAUUGGUGAGUAUCUGGUUCUAAAUACAAGCAUCUUCACAGUAGAAGUUGUAAAAAAAGAAAUGCUUUUCCACUUAGUUCUUGAUCCUACAAUGCAUUCAUGGCAUUUCCCAAUAAUAAUCCUCCCGAUCCAUGGUAAUUUGUAUCAUACUUUGGUGGUCAUUGAUACAUGAUUUUUCCAUUUAGUUCUGAAUUCGUUUGCAGUAUGAAGAUAAAUUGUAUGUUUCUUUUUUCCUUUAGUUCCUCUUUUCUAGUUAUUGAACUUCUCAGGCUGUGGCCUAAUCUGCACUUGUCCAUGCACAUCUAAGCUCAUCUUUAUGAGAAAACCUGUAGUGCAUAGCUAGGCAGUCACUUAUCUUUCCUAAAGACGCUUUCUGCCAUUAUAAUUUGUUUUUCUGUCUUUCUCCUGAAUCCAUAGAACUUCAUCCAAAAAACAUAUUUCUGAAUAAUAAUUUACUUCCUCUAUAAGUAAUUAGGUUAGAAUAGCGCAUGAAGGAGCUGCAGUUUGUCCAUUUACAUUUUCUUCCAUAAACUCUUCAGGCUAAGGCUUUGUAGCUGAUAUUGUCAUUCUUGCAAUGGUAUGUUUUGACCAAGUAUUUACAACAAAGCAGAUUUGAUACUUUUCUUCGCAUUGAGAAUCUUUGGAACUAAACGGGUGUCCUCUUUUUAUUUCAUUUAUAUGUUUAACGAAGUCUUUUAAGACAGACCUUUAAUGGUAUAUUUCCCCUUUAUCAUAACCCAUUGAAAGAAUCUUGCUCUUGAAGCUGUGAUUCUGGUAAUACGGUUGAGACAUAUCUUAGACUUUGGAUAGUUUUACUGCCAGACAUUAUGCUGGUCACACAGCAAAGGCUUACUUCCGUAAUUUCUGGGCAUUCAGAGAAGUUUUUGUAAUGUUAGUGCUGUAGCUUUUUUAAUCUAACCAUAUUAUGUUUGUUGGUGCAGAGGAAUUACCGUUUCUUCUUCAUGUUUGUCUUCUCAACAACCCUUCUUUGCUUGUACGUGCAUGGCUUUUGCUGGGUCUAUAUCAAAAGGAUCAUGGAUGGUGAACAUACGUCAAUCUGGAAGGCAAUGGCCAAGACUCCUGCUUCUAUUGUGCUAAUCAUUUAUACAUUUAUAUCAGUUUGGUUUGUUGGUGGCUUGAGCGUCUUCCAUUUGUAUCUUAUUGGCACAAAUCAGGUAUUGUUAUGUUCUUCAAACUUAAUCCGCUUCUUUUUCCUAUUGGAAGAAUCAAACUACCCUCAUGUUCUAUUUCUCUAUCAUGUUGACAUUUGAAUCUGCAGUCAACCUAUGAGAAUUUCAGAUAUCGGUAUGAUAGGAGGGUCAACCCUUAUAACAAAGGUGUACUUCACAACUUCUCAGAGAUAUUCUGCACUAGUAUACCUCCUUCGAAGAACAACUUCAGAGCCAAAGUGGCGAGAGAACCUGGAAUACCACCUCGUGAAGUUGGAGUUGGUUUUGUUAGUCCAAACAUGGAGAAAACAAUGAGUGAUUUAGAAAGGGGAAGGAAGCCUUCUUGGCAUGAAGAAAGGAGAGGAGCAAAUGAAUUUGAAGGACAGACUAGAAAUGAUAAUCAGUUCGAUAAGGAGGAAGAGCUAUCAGUUAUAUCCAAUGGUGCCACAUUGCCAGAUGGGCGUAGUAUACUACAUCCGAGGCGCUCUAGUUGGGGAAGAAGAAGUGGAACCUUGGAAAUACCACCUGAUGUAGUUGCUAUGGCAUCUGAAAUUGGAGAUUCAAAUAGGAUAACUGUCAGUAAUGGCGCUUUCUCAACCGAAAACCACCAAUAGUGACUACUGACCUUGGUGUUGUUUAAGCUAUUGUAAAAGAACUGACAACUGUAAAGAUCAUUAGCCAGAGUUUAUGGGUGGGAUCAGCCCUUCUGACUUUUAACUUCUCUGUGUGUAUAUUAUUUCUUUUUUUUUUUUUUUGUUUAAAAUUUUCUUCUUGUGUGUGAGGCAACAGAAAUUCUUUGCAAGGUUGUUCAAUGCAUCCAGUCUGACUGACGUAUAUAUGAAUGGCCUUUCUCGUGAAUAAAAUAAAAAUGAGAGCAUCUCUUAGAAUUUAUAACACAUCAGUAACAACACCACAUGAACUGUAUUGUGCUGUGCAACAAGAUUUUUUUAUUUUUUAUAAAGCUAAUCUUUCUUCACUGAACCCGUUUCAUUAUGAGCAUGCUCAUCUCCAUGUAUCGUUUUGCACAGUGACUUAAACAAUUAUAUUCACUGGAGCUGAACUUGCUUCCGGGAGUACCAGUCACGCAUUUGUCCCAGCAGGAACUUGUAAGCUUUGCAACUACUUCAUUGACCAUGGCCCUUUCCUUCUCUUGCUGCAUAAAAGGAAUAAAUCAGCCGCAAAAUAUUAGAAAACUGUAGGCACAGGGAAAAGCACACACCAACAUUCAAACCGAAAACUGCCAUAUUAUAUACAAGUCGAGGCAACUAAAUCAAAUCCGGUCAAGUCAUGCACUGUCUUCUUCCAACACAACUAACAACGUAAUAUUUGUGGAGACAUCUCAAAACACUGCAGAAACUUUGACAUUGGCAAAUAUAUAACAGUAAAAACGAUAAGACGUGGACAGACAAGAAAAAGAUUAAAGAUGGGUUUAUUUUUCAAAGUGCAAAUUGACUAGAGUAUAACAUCUAGCAGAGGCUGCAAGUUACUCAAACAAAUAAUAUUGAGAGAAGAUCACCUAAAACGUCCUAUGUACACCUUUAUAUGCAUCGGGGUCAAUAGAAAUGACAGGUGCUGAAAGAAGUGAGAUAGGCUAUGAAGAAAUUUGUCCAACAACAGGUAUACAAUCUCUCGUAAUCAUAACACAACACAAGUGAAAGAUCCAUAACAAUGGAUGCCAAGCCUAGGCGUGAACUAAUUUUUCUAGCUCAAUGAGAAAUGGAUUUAAUGCCUAGCCCACUAGUGCUAGGCACUUAAAUUAGUCUCCACUGUUGGUAAGGAGUCUUUUCUUCUGAAAGAAUAAGUACUAUAAGAUUUAGGGAACGUCUAGUUUUAGAAAUUUUUUAAUUUGCCUUAAAAUACAAAUUAUUCCUACUGAAUAAAACACACCUGAACAUAGUAGAAGUGGAUAUAGAUGAUUCAGAUAAUCAGCCCCAAAUAUAAGGAAAAAAAAGCAAUAAGAUGUUCUUAUCUGCUGUUGCACUAAAAGAGCUGCCAUAAAAGAGUCGCAAAGGACAAGUUUGCAUAGUAAAAGCUGAUACAUCGAUACUACUAACUCAUAAACACACGGACGUACUGCACAUGGUUCUCAAGUUGAUUUCAUUUGGUUUACCAAGGCCAAACACAGGGGCGAGUAAAUGUUUAAAGCAAUAGUUUAUCUGAACCCAAUACUUCUAACGCAAAGUAUAAAUUUAGGGGUACAAAACAACUAAAAUUAUAACAAAUAGAAUGCAUAAUUUUAAAAAUAUAAUAAGUUUGAACCCAUUAAAUCCUGGAGACGCGUCUAGUCAAACAAACAAUGGGGAUCAAAAUGACAGACCUAAAGGAGUUCACCACGUCUCAUAAAAUCUACUAUACAGUACAGUUCCUCUCAUUUCGUCACUAGUGUAUGUGCCCUAGAUACAUGUUUUCAGAGCUCGAGAAGAUUAAGCAAAAAAACAUCAAAGCAAUAAUUUCCCAAUUGGUCGACUACCUAAACUUUCAACUCAUUGGCAAUGGUUCAAUUCCUCAACUUUCAGUCCCCUCCAUUUUUUUUUUCUUUAAAUAAUAAUAAUAAUAUCCAAAAAGAAACAUAACUGAAAAAAAUGAAUCCUUCUAAAUCCGGAGCAGCAUCAAAAGUAUCUAUCCAUAGGCAUAAUGCUCAAAUAAAAUUUCCAAAUUAUCCAAAACUAAAUCAAUUUACAGAAAGAAGAAGCAAAACAGAUAUACAAAAUACACAUCAAAUAAAAUUAUACAUGAUAUUAGAAAAAAAAAAAAACUUACAUUGAGAAGUUGCUGCAAUUCGGGAGACGACUUAAAGGUUGAAGGAUCCAUGCAACUUUUGGGGAACAAAUGCUACUUUCUGGUUUUCGUGAAGAUGGUUAAAUUUUUUUGACUUGCAAGUUAAAACCCUAACAAAAAGUUGAUCGAAGCCGACGGGACGGGUCGGAUGAAAUGGGCUACGAUUGGAUACUAUUAACUCCGAGAAGCCCGUUAUCUUGUACCAAAUUGAGAUGAUUAGCCCAAUCGUUUAUUUGUGUUAAGGAUUCAUGGUGAGGCUAAUUUAUGCAAAUCUCUCCCUUUUAGGUUACUAUUUAAAUUUUCUCUCUAUUUUAACAAGUUGUACAAAUAUAACUUAAAUUUACAUCAAAUAUUAGCUUCAUUUUGUAGAUAAAAAAAUUGACUAUUUAAAAUUUGUUAUAAAUACAUUGAAUUAAAUUCAAGUGGAUUGUCCAUUAAGCUUAUCAUCAACUUAUCCUUAUCAUGGAUAUGUAUUCCCAAGGUGAUGAAUCUUUUUAAGAUAGAAAUGUAUCUACUAAUGUGACAUUAAACAUGGUGACCUUUUGGUUGAUUUCUCUACCUAUAAAUAGAGAUACCAUUCACCAUUGUAAUAUACACUUGAAUAAGAAGAAAAUUUCCCUUCUUCUAUCUAUCUCUCUUGUCUUCGUCUCUUUAUGAUUAUAUUCUUAUGAGCUUGAUUUUAUAACACGUUAUCUGCACGAGUCUCUAGCCAAUUAAGAUUGAGUUUUAGUUUUUCUUUAACUCAUGUUUUUGUUGAUCUCGUUAUGAGAAUCAAGGUAUUAUAUGCAUAAAUUAAGGUAUGUAUUUUCUAGAAUAUUUUUAUGAUUUAGAAUAAAAAUAAUAUUCAGUCACUAACAAUUAUCACGAACCGAAGACAUAUACUAUUAUUGGUUGAAUAUGACAUGCUAUAUAAAACUUCUUAAAUUGAAGAAGUGUAAAAUUUUAAUAGCAUGAGUUUGAAUGUUAUUUUGAUUAUUUUGAAAGACUCAAAGGGUGAGUCAUGUUGUACUUCGGUCUAUUAUACCGUUGGUUAAGGGUAAGACGAUGGAUUCAAGUUUCAUCGCACCAAAAGGGUAAGACAUCAGGUUUAAGUCCGGAUGCACCAUAAUGAAAAAUAUUUGAGGAUCAGACGAUAGAUUCAAGUUCUAUCGCACCAAAAGGGUAAGACAUCAAUUUGAGUUUUGAUGCACUGUGAUUGGGUUCAAGUCCCAUAGAAUUAUGGCGUAACAUGCCUUAUAUGGAUAAGACAUUGAGUUUGAGUCAAUGCAUCAUAGUGAUGAUAUAAUGAUGACUAAAACUUUGAUGAAAAGUCUUGAAAUCCGUCCUAUUGAAUUUGCUCCUUCCUUGAAAAAAAUGUGGUAACAACAUAUGAUAAUUUGGAAUCGCAUGUUCACUUGCUCUAUUCUAUCGUAUGAAUGUUAUAGCAGUAAAUAGUUAGUCUGAAAGAUGACAAAUAUUUAACGAUAUGAAAAGGGGCAUGAAAUGACGGAAUUAUAAUAGUCAUCAUUGUGGUAAUUAUAAAAGGAAGAACACUAUGGGUUCUCCAAAAAGUCCUUCAAAAUGUGAAGGCAAUUUUUAUUAUAAAAUGGUAUGAAAGGUCAUUGGACUUGUGAAUGUUGUCGACCCAAUUUGACAACUUUAUAAAUCCUCCAUCAAAAGACAAGAAGAUAAAGUGAUGAUACACUUGAUCUUUCAAAUUGAUGUUGAGGUGUGUCAUGGAAAUAUGAUGAAUUUUAAAAACCAUGACAAUGUACUUAUAAUGCAAAUUUAUGAAGUACAUAUAAAUGAUUAGUCCAUUCCUUGAAGAUAAUGUGACUUGUAAUGAGUAUCGUGAAUGCUCGACCAUUCUAUAAGAGAAUGAGUCAAGAUGUGAAAAAAAAUCAUUAUGGGUUGAAUAUAUGCCACAACUCACCUCUAUGGGAGGUUUGAGAAAAAAUGAUAUAUACACCAAAAUUCACCUCUACGGGAGGUUUGAGAGGAAAUAAAUUUUAUUUUCCAGAAAUAGUUAAUGGUAUUGUAUGUUUAUACGUCACUAUGGUAUGUUUAUUGUGAACUACCGAAAGGGCAAAAGAAAGAAAUAGUUCUUGUCUAUAAGGGUUGUAGUCAUAUUUUGUGGCAAUACAAAUUUGUCAUUGGUUGUGUACCUAUGGUACAACAAAAGUAAAGCAAGAAACAUGUCUUGCUCGUAAUGAUUUUGACCAUGACAAUGAUAAUAUAAUUUCCUCCUUAAGGAGAUGCUCACCAUAGGAAUGGUGUCAUGGAAUAUGUGAUAGUACACAAAAUUAAAUUGCAAGCUCUAACGAGUUGUGCUAUUAUCAAAGGAAUAAUAUUGGGUUGUAGUAAGUCUCAAAAGAAACUUUUUAAGUUUCGGAUGAAUUGAAAAGAAAUAUUGAGACUAUAAAUUAUGAAAAGAUUUAAUUUCUUUAAAUUACUACAAUUGAAGAGGGUUAUAAAUAUUACCCAUUUUUUCCUCGUGUUUGUUGCACACAAACAUGUGCAUGCUGAUGGAAUCACAUGCAAAAGUAAACUAUAAGUGUACUGAAAUAAAAAUCAGUUGGUAUGAUCAGUUGACCAUUCUGAUUUAAAUGUGAUGCAAACGUAAUUGAGAAUUUAUGUGGCUUAUAUGAUGAAGAAAUAAAAGAUUCUUCAAGAAUUCUCUCGUAUUGCUUGUUUUCAUUGUACCAGCUAAGGUUGGGAUUGUAAUCCCCUGAAGUUUUUGAAACAUAUAAAAAGGUGAAUAUGGGCCCAUUCAUCUUCCAUGUGGAUCAUCUGCAACUAUAUGAUAGAUGCAUCUAUGCGAUGAUCACAUGUGUUUUAUUGUCAACUUACAAAUGGUGUAUGUAAGGUUGUUUGCUCGAAUUGUUAAAAUUAAGAGCACAGUUUCAAACUAUGAAAUUAUAUUAAUAAUGCUGGUUGAUUUAGCAGAAAUUGUAUGCCUCAAAUUAUAGCUAAAUCAUGGUUAUGAGAACAAAACUCCGAAAUAAGAUUUGGUAUGAGAUAAUUUUAUUUAACAUGUAGCAACACAUGUAUGCAUCAAACCAACAAGGUUUCUCCAUUAAAAUUGGUUCAAGGUCAGGAACCAUAUAAUUUUCAUCUAAAAUGUUGAAUGUGCGGUUAUGAUUUUAAUUGCUCCACCACGCACAAAGAUGAACUUCCAAAUAAGGUUGGAAUAAAUGUUAGAUUUUCUAACAUUCGGGGGAGAAAUGAUUGACAGCUGAAAAUUAUGUGUGAGGUUAAUUAUGAAUUAUCUAAAUCCUCGUUAAAUAAAUAUGUAAAUAUUUAUCUGAUCUGCAUAAAGUUCUAUCUCAAUCACGCUAUGUGUUUGCAUGUGGAGACACAAUAAUAUCCUGGGGAUCAAUGAAGCAAAUGUUGCUCUGCAGAAAUAAAAGUCCUCCAUGAAGCAAGUCAAAAGUGCGUAUGGUUGAGAUAAAUGACACACCAUAUUCAAGAAAUGUGUGGUUCUUCUUUAAAAAAAAAAGAAUAUACCAACCACAAUGUACGAAGAUUGGAGACAUCAUCACAAGUAAUUAAGUGAUGUUUUAAUCAGGGGGAGUACAAUACGCGUUGCACUCUUUUUCCCUUGAUCGAGGUUUUUUCCCACUGGGUUUUCCUGGCAAGGUUUUUAAUGAGGCAAUAAAUAGUGCGUAACAAAAGAUAUGUGUACUCUUUUUUCCUUCACUAGAAUUUUUUCCCACAGGGUUUUUCCUAGUAAGGUUUUAACGAGGCACAUUAUCUAUGAACAUCCAAGGGGGAGUGUUAUAAAUACAUUGAAUUAAGUGGAUUGUCCAUUAAGCUUAUCAUCAACUUAUCCUUAUCAUGGAUAUGUAUUCCCAAGGUGAUGAAUCUUUUUAAGAUAGAAAUGUAUCUACUAAUGUGACAUUAAACAUGAUGACCUUUUGGUUGAUUUCUCUACCUAUAAAUAGAGAUAUCAUUCACCAUUGUAAUAUACACUUGAAUAAGAAGAAAAUUUCCCUUCUUCUAUCUAUCUCUCUUGUCUUCUUCUCUUUAUGAUUAUAUUCUUAUGAGCUUGAUUUUAUAACAAAAUUGCAAUUUUAAUAUUUUUUCAUAAGAUUUUUAGUUUGCUCAAAGCAGUGUUCGAAUCGUUAAAAAAAAUAGUAUAUCAUUUUAAAAAAAAUUAUCCCAAAAAAAAAAUAACAGCCGACAAAAAUUUCACUUCACAAUACAGUAAAUUUUCGUUAUAGUGAUGGUGUUUGUUUGAAACAUGGUUGCUAUAGUGAGGCAACUUUCGUUUUUUGUUUAGAUCUCAUUUAAUUGUUAUUAAUAGAACACAAAAAAAAAAUUUACAUCAUUUGUGUAUCAAGAAGAAGAAAUGUAUUUGUUAACCAAUAGAAAGACUAGGAAUGUAAAAAUGGCGAGCUAAUAACUUUUUCUCGUGAAAUUAUAAUCAUAAUUGAUGGACAUCAUUUAAAUAUAAUUCACAUUAUUACUAUUGGUAUGAAAUAUAAACAUUAUUUUCGAAAGACACUAGAAUACAAAGGUAUAUCAAUUAUAUAUGGAUGGAUGAAAUAAGGAGUAGAAGAUGAGAGCUGACUUUUAUGACUUUUUUUUAUGUAUUUUUAAUGAUGAGCAUGCACGGAGGCAACUCUUUUAGAGAAAAAACAGAAAAGUUAAAUAAAUUUAUAAGCAACAUCUUCUCAACGAAGCAAAGCACCUAUAUAACCAAAUCAGUAGUCAAAUGCCCUUUUCUUAAUUAGGAUCUUUGCUUUUCUUUUUUUUUUUCUUUUUUCUUUUUUCUCAAAGCUAAAAAAGCAUAUAGCUUUUUUUCUUACUUUCUUUUAAUUUCUUACUUUCGAGCCAAAAGAUUUUCAAAAAAACAACUAUGGCCCAAAAGAAAUGCCACUUAUUCACUGUACCAGAUUUUACUCACUAAUUAUUUUAUUAAUCAAUAAUAAUUAAGGAAAAGAUAUGAUUAGUACUUAGACAAUUAUAACAAAGAUGAAGAAGAUGUGGAGCGAUUAGCUUUUUAAGUCAGAAUUCCAAUAUAUACCAAAGUAAAAGACUAUGCAUCUAUUAGUUCAAUCAAAAAGUAAAAUAAUCUGGUAUGAGUUCAUUUUUAAUUCAAAAAAAGAAAAACGAGAGGCAAAAAAUUUUCUCAUAUAUCUGAAUUCACACUAAAUAUAAGUCAAUUAGCUUAAAGGACCUACAUAUUGGGAUAAAACCACAUUAAGAUUUCUUCUUUUCAAAUUUUGAAGAUGAUUAAUAGAAGCUAGAAAUAAUGUAUAUAUUGCCUAAAUAUUUUAAACAGAAUUUGGUCUCUUAUUGAGUAGCUAUCUGAAAAACUUUACUUUAAACACAUUCACUUUCAUGUCCAUAUGUUUAUUUAUAAUUUUCAGUCACUAUUGCUUUUUUUUUUUAAUAGAAAAUAAAGAAACACUAGUAAACCUGAAUAUAGAGAUAGGGGGUUAGACAUGCACUAUUGUUGGUUAACUUUACUGCUUUUUUAUUUCUUUAUAAGUUUGAGACAAAAUAAUGCAUUUGCUUACCUAUUGGAUAAUGACUCAAUUGUAUCGAAAAUGCAGUCACAAUAAAGUAAACUAUAGCAUGUUCAUCUAAAAUAAAAAUAAAAAAUGUAUGCAUUUACCUAUGAAUUGAAAACUGUACGAUCAAAAAUAUAAUACCGUAUAAAUUGGGAGUGGCCACGUCGCACGUGGCAUUUUUACAUUUGUAUGGAAUUAUAUUAAGACCUCGCAAUAAUACAAUUAGUAAAUUAAAAAAAUAUAUUAUUUAUCACGAAUUUUGAUGUUCGUGAAUAUAAAACUUUUACAAACUUUAAAUAUUUAUUUCUUUUUAAUAAAAUAACAAGGUUUUAGUUUAAGGGAGGCUUUAUGUUUUUCCUCUGUAUAAAACUACCCAUACAUAUAGGUUAAUUUAUAGAAAGUUUGGGUGUGUGGGACAUUAUAUUACUAGUAUUUUUAUUUUUUUUAGUGAAUAUAAGUACUUCUAAUAUAAAUACCAACUUUACUGCCUAAAUACACGAGGGCGUACAACUUUAAUUUACCGGGCUCGUGCAUCACUUUUUCUUUUUUCUUAUUAUAUAUUAGUACUAUACUAAUAAUUUAAUUUAUAUAUGUUGGAUAAUUAGUAGUCAAUUCAAGGGCAAAAUGUCAAAUGAAAGUCAUUUCUUUUAUGGCUCUUUAAUAUUUUCACAUGCUUUUGAAAUAUAAAGUAAGAAAAGAUAUAUAGAUCUUUUUCUUCAAAUUUUUUUCCCUACACCCAAUUUUAUUAUCUUCUAAUGUUUUAUUGUUCUAAUUAUUUAUGUAAGGUAACGUAGGAAACGACUUCCAAAUGCAUUAAUAAUUGUAUAUAUAGUUAAAUUAAUAGACUAUUGUUAGACCCGUAAACUAUUUGAUCUAACUAUGCGCAUACAUGUCAAGGACUUGGACAUUGGUCUUGACAUGAAUGGGGGUAAAACAGUGCAACACAGGUUUAAGAUGCUUGGGUGUUGGCAAGGCAACUUGAACAUACAAGGCUUACGUGCGGGCUAGAGUCAUCGGCAAAGCAGCAUGUUGGCUUGACAAGGCAAAGCUGUGAAGACUUGAUGAUGGCAAAAACAAAGGCAUUUCAUGUGAAUUGCUGAAAUAAAACUAAGUGUUGGAGGGCAGCUAAAAUAUUCCAAGUAUUGAAAGCUGGCUGAAAUAUUCUAAGUGUUGAAAACGUAGCCUGAAAUAUUUUAAGUACUAGAAUAUUAAUAUUUCGUGUGAAUAAGGAUGUAAUUUGAAUUAGAUUCUAUCUGUUAGAAAUAUAGCUGUUGGAAACUUAGUUUGAAUCCUGUGAUGACAAGUGUCAGUUGUCAUUUGUAACUGUCAUGUGCAGAAAUUUUAUAAGGGUGGAAAUUUCGUUUAAGGCUAUAGGGUGUGUUUCUGGCCUUAGACAAAUUCGUGAAGCCUUCCCUUUGUAUUAAUUAUAAGAUUAAUAAAGGUUGGGACGAGUUCCUGUACAUUAUGUCUGUUGUUUUUGUUGUUAAAGUAUUUCUAUACUUAGUCAAAUUUGUGGGAGUAAUAUAGGCUUGAGUGUUGCAGGCGUUUGCAAGACUACCUAGGGUGAUGUUCGGUAAACAUAAAUCGACCCUCUUUCAACUAUCCACUGUGAAUUUUUCUUGGGAAUUAUCUAUUUGAAUCUUCCCUAAUUCUCGAUUAUUAUAACAAAUACUAUAUAUAGCUACAAAAUUAUUAUCUUUGAUAUAAAAAUUACUAUAAAUUAUUAAUAAAAAUUACAUUUUAUAUUUAAAUACGCGAAAGAAAUAAAAGGAAUUGCUAGUUAGUUGUAUUUCAUGUGGAUGGGAAUUGUAUUCUGUUUGAUGGUGUUGUCCGCUUUCAUUACAAGCUAGUAUUACAUUGUGUGCGCUGCGGCCUCUAAAGAAUCCCAAUUAAAAGAUGUUGCUUCUCUUUGAAGUUUUUAAGGAUACCAUAAAAACAUUCUUUUUUUUACACAAUUAAAGUUAUCUAAUCUAAUUAACAAGGAGACGAACGUGAGUUGUGAUGCAAUUUUAAUCUCAAAGGUUUGAAUUUGCAUAUUGACAUAAUAUUAUAAAUCUUUUUUAUAAGAAUUUAAGUUACAUUAUAAUAAAAAAUCACCGUAAACUGACGAAAAAAGUUAUAUUAUAAAAAAAUAUUUAUAUUUCUCUCCUCAUUUCUCAUAUCAAACCAAUUCUAGGAAAACAGAAAACAAAUUCUCAUUACAAAUAGUAGGAGGCGUCCUUAUUAUUUUUUUUAAUGAAAACAUAUUGAUAUAUCUAGAUUAAAUCUUAUGCCGUCGAAGUUGACAUCAGGUGUGACCUUUUUAUAAGAAAAAUCGUCAUUAAAAUUUGACAUCAAGUGUGAUAUUUUUAUAAGAGAAGACUUUUUUUAUUGAUUCAAUUAAAAUAUAGGUAAAAAUAGCACCGAAUAUGUUAAUGAUAUUAUAUAUACACACAUAAUUGAUAUAAAAAUUAUUUGUCAUCAUGUCCCCAAACUCCAAUGUAUAUAUAUUUAUAGAGGAGUCUUCUAAAAAUAUGAAAUUUUAAUUUUGAAAAAGAAGGUGUGAAAUCUUUUAAACUAGCAAUAACAUGUGUAAAUCAAACUCUUUUUCUAUUAAAAUUUUUUGACUAUAGAAGGAACAUACAAAAAAGAUCAAUAAAUUUGUGUUGUUGUUGACAAAUAUAUUCUGCAGGAACUUCUAAUAGAAGUAUACGCAAGGAAUCGUAAGGAUUAAGAGUUCAAACUUAACCUUACUUUUAAUAUAAAAAGUUUUUUUUUUUAAAAAAAAGAUACUUUUGUCCCAUGAUCACAUAGGGUCCCUCUUCUACACCUCACAAAAGUUUUUUUUUUAAAAAAAAAAAAAAGCUGAGUAUAGAAAAAAAAUCCAUUUUCUUUGGUCUUACUAUAAAUACUCAUUACCUACCGAAUACUUCUACUCAUCACUACUCUUCCAAGAAAGUACUUGAAACUUGUCGUUGCGAUUCUCUCUUAAAUAAAUAAAGCUUGUGUUUAUCGAAUCGAGUAAUUUGAUCUAAUGGACAAGUUCAAUUUUGUGAAAGAUGGAGCGAUAAAGCUACCUCCUGGUUUUCGAUUUCAACCUACUGAUGAAGAAAUUGUUUUUCAAUAUUUGAUACGUAAAACAUUUUCUUGUCCCUUGCCUGCUUCUAUUAUACCUGAAAUCAAUAUUUGCAAGAACGACCCCUGGAAUUUGCCUGGUAAUUGACUUACACCCCUCUAACUCUUUCCUACUUCACUUUUUGUUGUAUGCAUGCAAAUUAAUUUGCUUUUGUACUAAAGAAUUUUUUAUAUUAUUAAAACAGGUGAUGUAGAGCAAGAUAGAUAUUUUUUCAGCAACAAGGAAGCUAAAUAUAGGAAUGGUAAUAGAGCAAAUAGGGCAACUAUAGGUGGUUAUUGGAAGCCAAGUGGUUUAGAUAAACAAAUUAUAUGCAGUAAAAGAAAGCCAAUUGUUGGGAUGAAGAAAACUCUUGUUUUCUAUAAAGGAAAGAGUGCUUCUCAAGCUUAUAGAACUGAUUGGAUUAUGCAUGAAUAUCGUCUCGUUCUUCCCAAAAAUUCAUCAUCCAAUUUACAUGUCCAUUUCAACAAAUCAUCAUCUCAACAGGUAUUUAAUGCCCUAUUUUUCUCUCAUGUUCCAAUUCGUUUGACGCUUUUUUCUAGUUAAGUCAGUCAAAAAGAAAAUAAACUUUUUUAAUUUGUAUGAGAACAUAUACAACUAUUAUGUUGACACAAAUUUUUUUUGAAAAAAUCUUUUCAUUCUUAAAUUUUGUAUUCAGUUAAACACUUGUUUUCACACUAAAGAGAGUACUAUCAUAUAUAUUAGUGGCAUGCAUAGAGUCUUGGUGUAUUGUAUUGUCACAAUUUGACUGUUAAAAAUAGUUUGAGUGUGAGACUCAAGUGGGAGUAAUUUAUUUCAUGUCCAAAAUAAAUGUUUAAAUUCAUUAAUUUAUUCAAAAUGCAUGGAUCAUGACACCCCUUGAUAAAUUAAAAAUGUCUCUCUAGACUCUAGCUAGUUGUUGACAAAUGUUAAAUUCUAAAUUAUCUAUUUUGUAUUUUGCAGAAUAAUUCAUUGGUUCAAAUAGGAAAUUGGGUUCUUUGUCAUAUAUUUUUGAAGAAAAGAAAUGGAAAAUGUGAUGAAGAAAUUAUUGAGGCUAAUUGUCAUGAUGAUAAUUACAAGGCUAAUGAUGAGCAUAAUGAUGUAGUGUAUUAUGAUUUUAUGAGGGAAGAUAAUUUGAGUGAUAGUAGAGCUGCAGCUUCCUCUUGUUCUUCUUCUUUGAGCAUUAACAAUGAUGAUGCAAAUGAGGUUUCUUCAUGUCCAACUAGUCUACUACAACAUCAACAACCUCUUUAAUUCAUAAUAUUGUACUUAAUUUUCUUGUUUUCCCAUUGUUUAAUGCAAUAAUAUUUUCUUCGAAAAAAUUAAAAAGAAGAAUUAUCAAUAUUGUUCUCACUUUACUCAAAACGUUACGUUAUAUAGCUAGAGAGGUCCUUUAUUUUCUUUCUAUUGCAUUAAUAAUAUUCAACAUUUGACAAAUGAUUAUUUUAGUUCACGUGCUUAGUUAAGAGAGUUGCUAUAGUAUAUUAAUUCGCUUUAGCAUGCCUUAAUUUUAUUUUUUAGAUAAUUGGAAGUUAAACUAAUUCAAAUGCUGAUUUUGUAAAUAAAUAAAUAUAUAUAUAUAUAUAUGUAUAUGUAUAUAUAUAUAUACAUAUAUAUAUAUAUAUAUAUAUAUAUAUAUAUAUAUAUAUAUAUAUAUAUAUAUAUUUUAGAUAAUUGGAAGUUAAACUAAUUCAAAUGCUGAUUUUGUAAAUAAUAAAUAUAUAUAUAUAUAUAUAUAUAUAGAUAGAUAGAUAGUGUUAAGAGUUUAUUUUUAAUUGUCUGGAAAAAGAAUAAUUCAUUUAUUAUUACUUACAAUCAAUAUUUAAUAUAGCUGAUACAAGGGCCCUCUGUUAUUAUACAAAAUAGAGGGAAAUGGUUAUUGAUACCCCUUUUAUUAUACAAAAAAAUAUUUUAACAUAUUAAUUCGAGAAGUAAAUUUGAACAUUUUUUCUCAACUAUCUUGACACGUGGAAUCAAUCCUGUAAAUCCUAGAAUGUAACUCUUAAGAAUUUCAGUUAUAAUAAAGAACAAAUACAAGAAGAUUUGCUUUAGUAAAAAAUAUAAUAGAAACGAUUUUAAAGUAUAAUACAGUAAAAUUAUGAUAUUUUACAUAGUAAACGAAUAUAGACAUGAAACUUGAACUUCAAUAAAAUUUAGUUACAAUCCGUUGGCAAUUUAGUAGUAGUUAAAUCAUUUGAAGAAUUCAACUUCCAGUAGAAUUAGAUAUAAAUAAUACAGUUUCUUCCAUAUACUUUUUCGUUCAUUUUUACUUUUUAUCUAUAUUUUGCUUCUCGAUCAGAGGUGAACCCACAACGGGUACACAUGCACCGCUAAAUUUCAGAAAAAGUAUAUUUAUUUUAAAAAUUUGUUAGAAAGUAGGAUAUAAUAAACAGUGUACUCAUAAAAAUUUCUUGUACAAUCGAUACGUGCUCGAGAUAUCACCAUUGAGAUUGGUGUUUGAAUCCAACUAAGCCAUUUUUUUUUUAAUUUUAAAUCUUGAAGCUCAUAUUUAUAUUGAUGCACCCGAAAUCUUCACGUUUUAGUUCGCUUCAAUAUGCAUAUGCAUGUGCAUGAGAAAAUUAAAAAGGGCAUUUAAGGCAAAGAAGUCAACUAAUGCAAUGAAAAAAAGGGGAAUUAUUUGUAAAAAGUGAACUCAAGAAUCGAACUUUUAGACAUAAUUUUCUAGGUAGAUGAAGCUGUGCUACGUACGAAUAAAAAGAGUGUAACUUUUUGUUAUUUUUCAGCCCAAAAAAUGAUAAAAACAUAAAGCAUGGGUUGGGGAAGAAGCAAGCAAGGUAUAUACUCUUUUCUUUUACUGUUUUUAUGUGCUAAAUAUAUUCUAAUCUUUUUAUUUUAUUUUAUUUUUCUAUAGUACCAACCCAAAGAACAUUUGCACAUGCGCCACUUUCUUCUUCUUCUUUUUAAUAAUUAAAGUUUUUCCCAAAGUAAAUGUAAAGCCGCAAAGUUUUUCUAUUAAACCUUUUUUAUUAAAUUUCAUUUGAUGUGGGAUGACAGAGCUGUCAAAAUUAGUCGUAUAAAUUUUACCCACCCACUCAAAGUUUGAUGGAUGUUGAUUUUAAUUACUUAUGAAUAAUCUGAUAAGAAUGAUAAUUAACCAAUUAUAUCACAAAUUAAAAUUUUGUUAUAUAUAUUUCUAUGUAAUAAAACCCUAUGCACACAUAUAGUUAACUUAUAUCCAUUGUAAUUAUACUAAUUAAAGAAUAUUAUGACAGGCUAAUGUGAUUAUGUGAAGAAUUAUACAACUUAAAAUCCUUAUCACGUUAGAAAAAAGGUCACAAGAUAAACAUACCUACUACCUAGUAACAUUCCUUUACUACAAGUGAAAAAAGUUCAAAUUCUUGAGUAAGAAAUAUAUAGAUGUAUUGAAAAAUAAAAUAGUUGAAACGUGAUUUUCAAGGGUCAGAUGAGUUGGAUUGUAAUUAUAUUGACACAUGCAAAAUUCAACAUAUUGGGUUUUUUCUCCUACGUGAUAUUUGGUAUAGACAUUGAAGUCUGACUAAUUCAAAUACUCUGGCUAUAAAAAAUCACUCUUUCAUAUUCGAGGCACGAAACUAAAAUCAAUUCUAGUUUUAAAAAAAAACAAUUUCAUCCAAUGUAUCAUAUUCUUUCGUGCAGGUUCAUUAUUGUUCUUAUCAUUCAACACAUAUUGUUUGAUCACAUUUGUGUUGACUUUGAAAAAAACAUUUUAUUAAUUAAAUCGUUCACCUAAAUUUUACUUUAACGGGCUUCUUGUUGUUCUUGUACAUUAGAAGGAAGUAAAGGAUAUUCCAAUAUAAAUAUCUAUAUAUAAACCUACUUGUAGUACCUUUAUUUACUUCACAUGAUUGAGGCCCCAACAAAUAUUUCUGCUCUCUUUAUGAUGAAAGAUGAUUUCCACAUCGAAGGUGGAUGAAGUGAAUCAGACUUUUAUAUAAUUUUGAAUUUUUAAAAAAAUCAAAUUUAAAGUCCGUUUAACAUGAUGUCUGAAUAUGAUUUUGAAAAAUCAAAUUUAAUGUCCAUUUAACAUGAUGUCAGAAUAUAAUUUUGAAUUUUAAAAAAGAUCAAAGAGGCGAUCAUCAUAUUCGUUUUUGUCUAAUAUAUUCUUACACAUGCCAUUUAAUCCAUUAACCCCCUGUUAAAUUGACAAAAAAAAUAAUAGUUUAAUUAUUUGAACAUUAUUUUUAUUUUUCUAACAAGUUACAACUAUUUGUUGUCUUUUCAUUAAUUAAUUUAUCAAACGAACCGAAAUACAUGUUCGUCCACAUCCCUUCAAUGUUCAAUUAACCAUAUUCCAUUUUGAUUAAUUAUUAUUUAAAAAAAAAAAACAGUUAUAGUAAAAAACUUAGGAACACAUGCAUGCAUUUCUUGUAUACCCUAUAUUCCUAUUUCUUAGAGGAUAUCCUUAUCGUUAAUUAUAGUAAGUUCCUAAAAGGAAAAAAUAAAUUUAGCUAUACAUGGUCAAAAUCUCUUCUUUUAGGUCGUUUCUUCAUACAUUAUCAUUAAUCAACUAGCUUUACGUACCAUUGAGGCAUAGUUAUUAUUGUUUUCGAUCUGUCUUACAAAAAAUCUUGAAAAAUGGGGGGUGAAAUUUCCAAGGUAAAAGGCAAGAACUAUAGGAUCCCCCAAACUUCCUUCGUCGACGUUUACAUGACAAGAAGAAAAGAAGGCGUUUUCGUAGGCCAACAAAACAAUCUACACCUUCCAAGAAGGAAUUACUUUCAUAUGCUAUAGAAGAUGAUGAGAAUCUAGAAGGAAGCCUUGGAAAAAGUGAGUAUGUAAUUAAGGAUAUUAAAAAAGUUGAAGCAAAUGAUGAUCAUCAAGAACGAGUGGCAAAACUGAUAGAAGCAAUUGUUCAAGAAAACGACGACGAAGAAGAAGAUAAAGAAAGGGAUUAUGGAGAUGAUGAUAAUCAUAAAGAUGAUCAAAGGACGAUAAAGCGUAGUUAUGAUGAUGAGGGGCCUGGUUCACCAAGUUUUAGAGUAUAUUUCACAAAUAAUAACAAUGUUGUUGAAGACAAGAGGAUUAAUGAAGUAAUUAUUGGUAUGUAUUAAUUUACUUUUCAAAAGAUGUAUAGAAACCAUAAAAAUGUCAUUAGGACUCUAGCUGAAAUUUUUGCAUGUCCUUGUUUGUGCGUGAGAAUGAAUUGAAUCUCCUUCAUCAUCGAAACAUUAUACUGACCCCCUUAAUAUAAAGAAAAAUUGCAAUAUAAUGCCAAAGAGGAUUCAAUAUAGAUGUUAGUUAUAGUAAGGUGUGACAUUUAAUCGCUUGGUAUAUAAUCCUGGCUUCGCCACUGCCAAUGUUCAGCCAACUCUAACUUAUUUCCUACUAUUUAAUGAGUAAAUGCAGGUAACAAGGAUGUCAUUAAGAACACAACUCCAAUAGCAGCUACUAGUAGACCAACAAUCCCUAUUGCUGCUACCAUACCAUCAACAGAGGUAUAUAUAUAUGCAUGAGAUUCUUUAAUUUCUAUCAAAGAUAUUACCUUCCUUGGUAUAAAUGGCUGUUUUUAAAAAAUGUAUGCAUACUAGAGAAACAGAGAUGUAGCACUUGUUAACUGGAAGCUGUAGGAUUAUCCAAUCUAUUCAGAAUUAAAGCCCGACCCGCUGUGCAAUGCAUUAGAUUGAAUACACUAUUCUGAAUAUGAAGCAAAACCUAUGUUGCUUGGGGCUUUCCAAAAAAUUUGUUGUGCCCAUGUGGGAUCCAAACAUGCACUAAUUUUGGGGUAUCCAACAUGGUGCUAUAUUUUUGAAGAGUCCGAGCAAACAUAGGUCAAAACUACUAAGCAUUAACUAUGAACUUAUAAUACUAAAGUAUAACUACUUCAAUACUAAUGCCAUUUAGCUAGAAAAUGCAGAAAAAUAUUCUAUGAUCAAAGUUUCAAAUAUUUGGUUGAUGUGAGUUUGUACAUAGUCAAUCUUAUCUAGCUUGGAUUGUGGCAGAAUAGUUGUUACAUGUAUGUGCCAUUAUCAUAAACAAAUCUGCAGUCAUUUGUUUACUUUUGAGCUUUUUAACAGCAAAGAUUUAACUCUCUUCGCAUUUUUCUUUGAGGGAAAUAAACAAAAACAUAACAGGAAUGUAACAAAAACAGAUUUUGCUAAACAUCAGAAUAGCAUACAUAUAUAUAUAAAACCAAAAGAAUAAAUAAGAGUGCUAAACUUACAUUUUCAUACAGGUGGUGCCUGUGGGCAGAAAGGUGAAGAAAGAAACGAAGAGGAAGAAUUUUAAAAGUGCACUGUCAAAGAAUAUGCUGAACGUUCGAUCAUGUUACUCUACAGCUCACUCCAGGCACAAGCGCAACCAUAUUCUUCCUGGAAAAGCACCUGCUUGAUCAAGCACCACACAUUUACUUGAUCGUCUUUUAGGGAAAUUAAACUCAUCACCCUUUGUCUGCUAUGUUUAGUGGACGUAAACUAUAGUUUAGCAAAUCAAAUAGCAGGUCCGCUGUAAUGAAAAACUCAGAAAUCAAUAUUAUGAAAUUGUGGACCUAAGAGAUUGUAUAUACCUCUUAAAUCCAGAAUGUCAUCUUCUUUUUCUUUGUUCUGGUCAACUCAUAUUUGAACCAUUUCACACAAUGAUAUCUGACAUAGGAGUACACAUAAAAUUGAAAUGUGAGAGUAAAAGAGUAGCAAAACCAAAAGGUAAGGCAUUGGAAGACUAGAGCGGAUGCAAUGUCAUAUUCUUUUUCCCUGCUGAGAAAUAGAAUUUGGAUAGAUUACCAGGAAAGGAGGCAAAUAACAAACAGAACUAAUUAACAGCAGAUUACAAUCUCAAAUCUGAUUAACAACUUCUUUUCUACCAGAUUUCCAGAAAGUUUCUUCAUGGGUGAGGAAGCCAAAAAGGAUUGACAAAUAGCUCUUUUAUACGCGCAUGAGAGCUUGCACACACUACAGUACGGUAGAUAAACAUAUGAACAAAAGAGAACAACUUUAAUUACUUUAGAACUGAAAAAGAAAGCAGAUGAACAAUCUUAAAGACACGGAACAGAGGAAUAAGCUUUUCAGCAAUUGUAUCUCUCCAAGUGCAAUUUUAGUAAAUUACACAGAGAAAUCUAGAGCAACAAAAUACAAAACAAAAGGGCAUUGACGACUAGCAGGAUUUAUAACAAAAGAUCAAUCUUCGUUCAACAGACUUCUGGCCAGACCAGAAAACACCAGAGAUCACAUUUGGCAUCUACAGAGGGCCUCAGUCAAUCAAAAAGUUCCUCCAAACCAUUUAAAACCAUGUCUUCCCUCCUGCCCAAAAUAUUUUAGGAUAGUCAAUACUCAGAUUUUGUAUUUCAACCAGAGAGAAGAUUAAGUAGAUGAUCCUGUUUUAAGAUAAAAAUCUUACAAGAUAUAAGGGGUAUAUAGUGGGGAUAGGAGAUUUUAACACAAAUACCUAUUCAGAAGGGAAGGCAGAGGAGAGAAAUUCUUCAUCCUCCAAAAAUAUCUGCAGAUUCUUUGUUUUCAUCAAGAACUCAACAGCUGCCUCAUCAAAUUCCAGGAUGAACCCAAACUUGAUCAAUUCAGCCAGCUGAGGCACAAAAUCUUCUUUCUCCUUAAGAAUUCCCUCAGCAACUACUUCAGAGAAAUAUGUUGCAUACUCAAGUUUGCCUUUGUAACCACCUGAUUUGUCCAGCUUUUGUAGGAAGAUUUUUGAACUUUUUCUUUCCCAACAAAUCAUUCGGCUCACUUCCACAUUCAGGACUUCUCCAGAAGAAAGUGACAAACUGCAAUCCAUGGUGAUUGGUUCUAAUGUAGCAAAAAUGCUAACAUCCAUGAGGCAUUUGAGAGCUACAUGUCUCUUGUGCACUUCCAUUUGAAGUAAAGGAUCAGCAAGGAAGCCAAGAAUUAACUUAAACAAACCCCUCCCAAUGAAGAUUUCUUUUGGCUGCACCAGCUCAAGUCCAUCACAAUUAACAGAAGACAGGCUUUUCUUCAGAACAGAUUCAGACAAAUUGCGAACACCAAUUUUGCUGUAAAUUUCAAGUAGCUCCUGUCGAGGCAAAGAUUGCAAGCUUGGUUGUGGGUACCAAACGAACAAGUGAUGAGAAGAAGACUUUUCAAAUAAAUCCUUCAGAUAGAGAUCAUCACCAAUAAAAACAUCACGUUUGUCGAGCAUCAAAAUUUCCUUUUUCAAGCCUGAACUUGCAGGAAGUUUUGACAAGUUUUCAGACAGAAAGUUCUCAGUUCGUGAGCUCCAGUGCUUCACAAUGAACUCCCAGAAAGUUUGGCACUCUGAUUGUGACAAACUGCGGCCAGCAUUUUCCCAUGAAUUCCAUAGCUUGAGAAAAUCAUCAAGAGAAGGAUUGCUUUUGACACCUAAUUUGGAGAAGAAACUGAGCAGUUCCUUAUCAUAGUGCUUCUCUAGGACAUGCAACUGCAGGCCAAAGAAACCACUUUUGUCAUGCAGAACACAAUCGUCAGAAUUCACCCAAUCUCCAUCGUUGUCACCAUUUGGAAUCCAUAUUUUUCUAGCAUCUUCUUUUGCUGGUUCCCAGUUGAACUUGCUCAAGUACUUAUAGAUCCGAGUGAUAGUAAUCCUGCUAGAAUGUGAAUCAAGAUAAUCAGCAAGCAAAGAGCAUCCAUCUCCAAUUUCAACCACAACACCAAGAGACUUGAGCUCUUUCUUAUAUGAUCCUAUGUUGGAGCCAUAAAAGUUUUCAUCGAUGAAAGGACCAUCUUCAGGCAGUAAGAUAGGAUUCCACUUAGGACCAAACAAACAACACUUAUCUGGUGACCUGUAACCAGCAUUAGUCUUCAUCCAUUUUCUAGCAAGCUUUGACCGCAAAGCAAUCAGAUAAUCAUUAUGAUUCAUCUCCAAUUUCUUCAAGCACUCUAACAAUGAGAUUGCCACUGGAACAGUAAUGACACUAGGGUCACUAGGAAAUCGUAGGCUUGCAGGCACAAACUUUGCCCCACUUUCAAAAGUCACCGCAACUCCCAAACUCUUAAGUUCAUCCUUAUACUCAUGAAUGUUCCUUCCAUACCGAGCCUCACUAUCAUCAAUAAAAGGCAACAAAGAGAUUGAAGAGAGAGCUUCCCAAGCUGAAUCAAAAAGUAUGCAUUCUUUAGGUAAUUUAUCACCAAUUCGAGUUCGCAGCCACUCAACCUCUUGAAUGCAUCUCUUAAGAUCUGAAGGAAAUUUAAAGUUAGUUUUCUUCAACUUUCUGUAACAUGAGAGAAGGGAAUGAGCACUAUCUUUGUUUAAUGAACCCUUAGAUGUCUGCUGCCUGAACACAGCAACAAAAGCUUUAGUUGCCUCCUCAAAAUCAACCACCACCCCUAAUUUCUUCAACUCGCUUUUAAAUGACAAGAUAUUGCUUCCAUAGAAAUUUGUAUCAAUGAGAGGAAAACUGGAAAACACCUGCAGCAGGCAGCCCCACUCAGGAUCAAGCAAAAAACAUUCUGCCGGAGAUUUCCACCCCAUGUUUAUGGUCUUCAUACAUUUGUUAUCCUUAAGUGCCAUGCAUAUUUUUUUAGAUGAUCCCAGGUUGCAAAUACACUUCAGAAUCAGGAGCAAAGCAUCAGAACGCAGGCAACCUAAGCGUGUUGGAGAUUUCAAGUUGUCAACAACAAGCUGGUAAUUUUGAUUAAAACCAAACACCACUCCAAGCAGCUUCAGUUCUGUUUUAAAGGAAUGAAUCUCAUUCCCAUAAUGCCUAUUAUCAAUAAAUGGAAUGUCACUGAUCAGUGAGGCAGCAUUCCACUCACUGUCCAAGAAAACAGACUCCUGUGGGCUCUUCUCACCUUGAGUAGUCUGCAACCACCGCUUAUCAUUAAUGCUAUUGAUGAAGGUGUCAGGGGAAAGAAAUUUCUCCCUCAGAUACUUGAUGAAAUUGAGUAUUGACAUCACGUGGACUUUGGUUAAAGUAGAAUAAGUUGCCAGAGACAUAAAAUGCUCUCCAAUGUAUUCACAUGCCUCUUUAAAUUCAAACAUGACACCUGUUGUACUUAACUCCUCCUUGUACUGUAUUAUUUCACUGCCAUAAAACCCCUGAUCCACUAAUGGAAUAUCUACAAGAACUGAUCUACUUUGCAGCAGAUGUCCCCAUGAUGAAGUAUGGAAGAAUGAUUUUGAUGGAGGCCUGUAGCCUGGGCUACCACUUAGUGAUACCUUCAGCCAGCUUCCCUCCCUUAUGCAGGUCAAGAACUUUUUAGGAAAGGAAAGCCUGUUCCUUUUCAUCUUACGAAUCCAAUCUAACAUUAGCAAUGCAUUUUCCUUGGUCAGUGGAGAAUACAUACUAGAAAUUUCUGCAUCAGGAGGGGGUAGGUCUGGAAUGUCCAUAGCUGCAACAUUGUUCCUGAGAAAGGCCAGAAGCUCUUCCUUGCUGCUACAAACUCCAGCAUAGCUACCAGAAUGCAAGUAACCUUCUCCGAGCACAACAUAGCCUGAAGCUUUCCAAGGGUUUGAACCAAUCAACCGCACCCAUUUACUUCCAUUUGCAGGCACCACUACCCCUUUCCACUGUCGGGUGACAUGUCCAUAGUUAUCAACGAGCGGCAAAAAACGGCAUAAAGCAGCAACUUGAUCUUUUGAUAAAUAGUUCCUUUUGAGGGACUGAUGUAAGAAGUGGGCAAAAGCCAUAGCAAUGUUUCUAUCAUCAUUGUUUGUGUUAAGAAGCAGAACAGCAAAGUCAUGCACAUUCACAGAUCUCACCUUGACCUCAUCUUUAAGCCAAUCCAAAACUGUCCCACUUUUAGAAUGAUCCCUGACUGCUUCUUGUGUUGAUUUGGCAAAGAAAAGAUGAUUGGCAAAACGAAAUUCUGAGUUCCAGUUGAUCAGCCAAGAGAUGUGACCAGAUUCACGAGAUAAAAAUAACGAAUGAUCACCGUUCAGUGCCUCAUAUAUGCUACACAAAACUACAUCAUCAUCAAAAUCAACAUAUUUCAGAAGUUGUAUGUUCAUCAUGUCAGUUGUCUUGAAAGAAGACCAUUUCUCAGCAACAAAUGCUAAAAGUUCUAAGUAAACAUCCUCUGAGACUCCCAAAACAAAAUUGGAACUCUGAAUGCACUUUGCAUACCAUCCAUUCUCAACAUGUUUCACUUCCAGAAAGCUCAAAAUGUGGUUGUACACCCCCUUAUCAAAAUCUGAGUUUACGAUGAAUAUUCCAUGGGAUGAGAUGUUAUGCAAGACAACCCCCUGCUUCCUUGCCUUGUUAAGAAGAUUCCAGAAAGCAGGAAACAACCUACCAACGUCAUUGGGCUUCUGAAAGAAUUGUUGUUCCACGUAUGACUCACAUGGAAUGAUACUUUCAUCCAGCAGUUUUCUUUUAAUGGAGUCUCUCACGCCAUUAAGAAUUGGAUAAGGAGAUUCAUUCACUGGCAGAAAGCCAAACAUAUGAGUAAGAGUGGAAACUGGAGCACCUUCACUAGAUCUCACAAGUGAUGUGAAAGCAUUGACAAAAGCAGAAGGAACACAGUCAAGAAUGCCCUGGUUCCAUAUGUCAUCCAGAAGGAUCGUCUCCCUUGAUGAUGCUAGAAGAAAGUCUGCUUGAAUUAUGAAGGGGAAGUUUGUAACCAUCUCCGUCGGAAGAAAAGCAUAAAUCCCAGGAGAGCUUGUUCCCCUGUUGAGGCGCUCUCCAUUGGGAAAAGCUAGAGUGAUUACCCACUCAUCAACUUCCAUUCUUCUAUCCACUCUAUGCUCCCGCCUGACAGGAAACUUUUGUUUCCACAUGUAGUAACUGCAUUCACCCAUACCAGAUUUUUCAUCAGCUGAGAGAUGUAGCAGGUAGGAUUCAGCAUCAAUGUUUUUCUUCUUGACAAAAUCAGUCUCACUGGAAAUGGAAAUAGCACUAACUGUGUUAAGCCUGGCAUCCUCGUUGUCUUCCCUUACUGAGAGCUUCUUUAUCUUUGAAAGAAAAAGAAGAACUUCAGGAUGAAUGCUGGAAAGCUUCUGCUUAACAGGUUUCACCUUGUCAGGUUUCAGUGGAAGCACCAAAGUUGUGGCUGGAAGGGUAGCAGAAGACCCAUAGACUUGUCUAAUAACUGAAAGAGUUGGAUUUGCCUCCACCCACUCAGGUACAAUAUAGCCUACAUUGCAGUGCUCGCAAGGCUCCUCGCUGAAUCGUAUCUGAUACCCAUUGCUGAAGAUAUAGGGCCGAGCAGUGAUGAGAAACACACUCUUGAAGCCAAUGCCUGAGAUAAAAAUCCAUCAAAUUCUUUUAGAAAUAAGUUGCAAAUUCGGAUAAGGUAUAUGCAUAUUCAAUUAGGUAAGAGAAAGUAAUAAAGAUUCGUAAAAUUCAAAUGCACUCCGUUACCAAAACUCAUCAAGAAACUAGAAAAUGAUCAAUUUUCUAUUCAAAAGAUAAUGUAAUAUGAAAAAAUACAACAAACAAAGGACCGGCUGGUAUGAAACUGUAUACAGUUUUUCUACACUACAGUGCAACUUCAUACAAAAACAAGUUUGAACUGAAAUAUAAUGUAUAUAAACAGAUCAUUUUGGCAUAAAAAAAGAAGAGAUGAUGGGGUUAAAUAGAAACAAACUUAAUCUCUUCUAUUAAAACAAUCAUUGAUCCACUAAUUAAAAAAAAUACUAAUAAGAUAUUUUGUAGCUCUGGUUUAGCAUAGAGGAAAAAUAGAAAAAAUAUAGCACUUCAUUUUGAUGAAAACAGGGUGAGGGGGGGAACAGUUUACGCAGACCUUACCUCUACCUUAGAGGUGAGGUAGAGAGGCUUUUUCCUAUAGAUUCCCAGCUCAAGACAAAAAACAGUCCAGAAAAAGACAAAGGGAAGUAAUAGAUGAGGAUUCCCUUUAUGUGCUUGCAAAACUGUUACUUUCAAAACAGACCUUAUUCAGUUGGAUAUUCCAAUUUCAACUAUCAAAGCAAUAAAUGACCAAACAUGACUAUAUCUACAGCAAAUACAAUGGUAAAAUAAUCCAGAGAGCAAAAUAGUGCCUCAAAAAACAAAAAGAAAAACAAGUUACGGUCAGUUUUGAAAGUAAAACAUCAUUCCCAAACGAGUAGUCAGCUAUAUGAACUAAUCUAUAUGUGUCAUCAUUAUUGAAUGCGUCCUCUAGGCAGAUUAAGUAUUCUAAAACCAUAGUUUCUAAUCUAUUAAAAACAUAAAGGAGAAAUGAUAUAUGAUGACUAUGAAUUACUAUUCACUCUUUGUAUUCGACAAUUUAAAGCUUAAUGAACCAUAAAGGCAAUCAACAGGUACAACAAGCAGUAACAGUACUUUAACACUUCAAACUUUAGGCUCCAUCUGGACAUAUAUUGGAAUCACAUUGAUUUGAACUUAAAGAUGAAGUUUUGUUUGGACAUUCAAUAUAGAAUUCUUAAGUUGUGUUUUUUUGGCUAAUGAACAUGAAAAACCCACAUAAACUAUCAAAAUUAUCUGAAUUCUUAUUCAAUCAUAUCAAAUGAGGAAACCACAGUUCAUAAACAAGAAAUCAAAAUACGCUGAGGCGUUGCAUUGAUAAAUUGCAUACUUCCAUACUCUUAUUAUAAAUGAAAUGUUUGUGAUUUCAAAGUUUUAAAUAAACAUGAUUUAUUGAAAGUCAUCAAAAGUAGUAACUUGUUAUUGAGUUAUUCUUUACAGCUAAAUUCUCUUCUCUUUUUUUUACAAAAUGUAAAGUAUUUUCUACAAAAAAGAUCCAAAAUCCAAACAUGGCAUUUGAAAUCAUGACCAAAGUGUUGACUCUGUGUAGUAUAGAAAGGAGAAAGUUUUGAAUUUAGUAGGAGCUAAGGAGGAAAAUGAAAACAAACCUAAGAACAGAUAAUGAAGCAGAUGGCUCUUCAUCUCAAGACAAGAUUGACAGAGUUGAUUCAAGCACUAAUGUUCUAUAUGAGAUGUGUGUGGCACAAUUUAGAUGUAAAACAAAUUCGUCACUUCUUAUUACGGACUGUUUAAAUUUAAAGGACAAUAAUUUCACAACAACAACAUGCUCAGUGUAGUACCACACAAUGGGGUUUGGGGAGGGUAGAGCAUAUACAGACCAUGCCUCUACCUCAAACGUGACACAGAAAGGUUGCUUCCAAUAAACCUCAAAUUCAAGGCAACAAUAGUAUAUGAAAAGACAUAAUGAAUUUACAAUAGAUAGUAACAAAACAAAAGCUAGGAACAUAAUAGUACUACAACAAAAUAAUAUUACAAACAAACAACACAAAUAACAUAUAGUCACAAAAAUCAAUGACAAGAAAGUGCAAUAGUAGUCCUGCGACUACAAGUAUAAGCUAGUAACAGAAAGAGUGGCAAAUAUGAAGAAUGAGUUGAUUUACAGUAGAGAAUUGGGGAAAUUAAGUACCUUUUUCGCCGAUAUACCCUCGCUUCCGAUUGCCCUUCUUGGUGGAACGGCCGACGCUGCAUAUGGACUCAAUGUUCUUGCGGGAGAAUCCUUUCUCGUUAUUGAAGAUCAAAAGCGUGGCCGGAGCUCCGGUCUCCGUAAUAUCUUUCGAAGUUACCACGAAUUCCAGCGACGGAUCAACGCCGUUAUUGUACUCGUUAUCCUCCGCAUUCUGCAAUUACAAAAUAUCAUUAAUAUUACCACUCACAACUCAUACAUACGCCUGGCUCCAUAAAAAGAUUCAAUACGAAAUGUAAGAUUUUAUGGAAAAGGGUUAAAAUUAUUUCUGAAUUGUGCGAAAUAGAUCACUUGUAUCCUUUAUUAUAUUUUGGAGUAAAAAUAUCCAUUGUUAUUUUAAUAGACCACAAAUAUAAUCAAGAGUUAACACUCCUAUUUUAUAGUGACGUGACACGCCACAUAGGACUAAUCCCUCUAUCUAAGAUUGUCAUCUAAGAUUUAGUACAAAAGAACUUGAUCUGUGGUGGCGAUAAAGUUGCCACAAAAGAUUAUGAGUGAUUUUUAGUAGACUAAUAGUAAUAUUCAUUUUUUCAACAAAAAAAUAUGAUAAUUAAUUUUGAUUGCAAUCUAAUUUUCUAAAAUAAUUAAAUUACAAUAUUAGUAUUACAAACACAAAAUAUUAUUACAAAAAAUUAUGAAAAUUACUUCUUGAUCACAUCUCCUACUAUAUAAUGCAUUGAUACAUUUUCAUAUAACAUAAAAAUAAAAAAAUAUCUUCAAACUCCUACUUAAUCGACAUCAUUUUCAUUUUGUUGAAAAAUAAUGAAGAAAAAAAACACAAUUAGAAUUUAAUGCUAAAAAAUUUUAGUGACGAUUUUUUGGACUUUUGUGGAUACUAUUGUCGUCGCUAAAGAUCUAGUUCUUUUGUAAUGAAUCCGAGUUGGCAAUAGUUAGAUGGAGGAUUAGUUCUAUAUGGCAUGUCAUGUCACUAAAAUUGAGGUAUAUUUGUGAUAUCUUAGAGUAAGAGUGAGGGUAUUUUUGAUCCCAAAAUGGAAAGAAAAGUAUAAAUAAUCUAUUUUACAUAAUUUAAAGGCAAUUUUGACUUUUUUUCGUAGAUUUUAUUACAAAUAACCUUGAGGAAUUAGCAUUUCAAGAUGUCUUCUUGAGAAAUUAAUACUUUAAUAUGAAGAUUGAAAUAAAAAUUUAGUUUUCUUUAUGUGCUAAAUUGGAGAAAUAAAAAUGGAAAUUAUUUUUAGUUUAGUGUAUAGUUGGUCCCAAAAGUUGGCAUCCUAAAGUUGGGCAUUAAGUUUUACAUAAUUAAUUGUGCAAUGUUCAUUUUAGAUAUAAUUUCUUUAUAUUUUUUUGACACAUUACUAUAAGAAAAAUUGAAGGAGAGUAUAGUGUCACGUAGGAGUUUAAAUUUGGAAAAAUAUGAGUAAUUUUCUUAGAUAGUUGUUAUUCAUGUUACAUUGUUUAACUUUAAAAAUUGAAAUUUGAAGCAUUUAAAGAUUUUUUAUUUUUCUCUUGCAAUAGUCAUUACUAUUUUUAUAAAAAAAAAGGUUUAAUUUCAUUUUUUUUCCUUUAAAAUUGAAAUUAGAGGUAUUUAAAAAUCAUACAUUUUUUGUCGCUACAAUUUCCUUUAACAAAAAAACUUUUAUUUUCUAUUUAAAAUAUUUAUAUUAAAAUUUCUGUUUUCUUAAAUUGUAUUUUUAGAGCAUAUUUAAAUACUUUUUGAAAAAUUAAAUUAUUCUUGAAUAUUUGUGGUCUCCAUUUAUAUAUAAAUAGAUUUUUUUGGUUUAAAAAAAAAAGACAAACCCACAUAUAAUACCCAUUAAAAAAAUUACAUUAACAACUAUAAUAUGAGCCCUCCAAUUCUUCAAGAAAAUAUGUGUAUUCCUCCGGUUCUUUAAAACAAUUAGAAAAAUAUUAAUAAUAAGUUAAAAAAUGUGACAUGGCACCCUAGUAGUAGAGAAAUAAUGAAUUUUUUUGUAUCAAAUAUAUUUUAAAGAAAAUAGACAAAAUUGGAUAAUAUUGUAAUCCUAAAACAAACAUAAGUGAUAUCCUAGGUAAUUUGACUGACUAUCUAGGAAAUUACUCAAAAAAUGUUGAAGCUAUGACUUGAAAAUUGGACAUUAAGAAGAGAAAAUAAAAUAAAAAAUUAGUUAGAUUAAGUCUUUCACACGCAAUUGUUGAGUGUAUCAACCUCACUUUUGACACGUCAAUAAAAACUGUCAAAAUAACACAACACAAUCUAAUAUGAAGUGCCUAAAAUGAAUAUCGUGUAUUAAUGGAACAUGGCUACUUUUAUGUCCGAACAAAAUGAUUUUUUUAAAAUAAAACCAAUAUAUACUGAAAAAAAGAUCAUGUAAAAAAUUAAUACUAAAAAUAUAAGCAAACUCCAAGAUAUUAUCCCCAUGUGAUUGACACUAAUGAUCGAAAAAAAGUCAUCGAACUGUAAAUAAUAGAAACAAUGCAUGAACCUGAAUGAGUUCCAUGAGGAAGUGGACAUCCUUGGCAUAAAGCUCAGCAGAUAGAUUCUUAACAGCCUGAUGAAGAUCCUCAGUAAGUGGAUUUGCUUCACCCCCUAUUGAGAAUUUGCUUCUUCUUAUUUCUUCAAUGUGCUCUUUUGGUGUACCCAUUUUCGAUCGAUGAUCACCAAUCAUAAAACUAAAUAUGAUUAUGCUUAUAAUAUACUCUCACUAGUACAAAUGAGAGAUGUUGCUGAGGAAUUUAUAGAUAGAUGGAAACUGUUGAUUACCCACACCUUGAAGAAAUCUAGUUGACUCCUAGAGUCCUUGUCCUAGGCAUUGACGAGGUGGGGCCAUCUUUAAUUUCUUCGCGAAUCAUAGAAAUUAAACUAUUACUAAACUUAAAACUAUGACGUUUUGCUAUGAAGGUAUAAAAAUGCAAAGAAUGUCACAGAAAUUAAAAACACGUAUAAUAAUAUUUUUACCAGUUAUAAAUAAUCUUAUUAUCUAAUGAUUUUUUACACAUUUUAUAAUAUUCGAGAUCUUAAAAUAUUUGAUUCUACAAGUAAGAAUUUUGUAAUUGGUCCUUUUACUUAGAUCAUGUUGGAUCCGAGUUAAUAAACUACGUACCAACUUGUCUUCUCUUUGGUAUUGAUGUAUGUAAAUCUCCAAUGAAUUUGAUUGGAAGUUCAAAAGGUAAAGUAAAUUUCCUUAUUUUCUGUUGUUCAAAUUUUUUAUUUUAUUACUUACUAUAUAAAGUAUAUAUUCUUUUCUCCAUGUUCAAGUGAGACCAUUUUGAUUUAAUCUCAAUAGUAUAGUUUAAUAAAAUAUAUAUGUGCACCUAAAAUUAAAAUUGAUGUGAUUAUACCUUUAACUGUUCAUUUGGAUUAAAAACGAAACUUAUACAUUAACUUUUAACGAAAGUAUUAAGUCAAUAUAAAUCAAAUAAAAUGAAAAGUUGAAAAUAAUUAUUCAUGAGUUGCAAUCUUCACAUAUACUAUUUCCCUAAUGGGAAUCUAUUAAUUUUGCCGCAUGUUUGGCGUAACAAUCGAAAUCAUAAAAUUCAAUGUGAACUAUGCGAUUAGUGUGAAAAGGAUAGAAACUUCGCCAGGAAGGAGGCAAACAGGGAACUACGAAGAGAGCUUGCAUUAGAUUUAAAUGCACAUGUCUUUUUCAAUUGACUAUUGGGAACGACAAAAACCAUAAUUUCCCCCAAUUUUCCUUCUUUUUUUCUUUCACAAAUGAAAUUCGAAAAUCAUAUGCUAUACAAAUUACCUUUUUUGAAUAUUUUUAUUUUUUUAAUUUUUAAUAUAUUUUAAUUUAGAAGAAAAGAAAUUACUUUAUAUUAAGAAUAAAAGAAAUAUUAUAAACUAUUGAAAUUUCUAAUCAAAUUUUCUGAUCACUUAACAUUAUUCUAGAUAAAAAUGACUGUCUUUAAUCAUACCUUAUAAACGAAGUUUUAGAAGACAGAGAGAAAAGAAAUUGGUACGGAGCAUAUUGGCCUUUAAACGUUCAUUGGUCUCUAUGGUCUUCCCUAACUUUGCCUUUAAUUAAAUCUUCUUUUUCCAAGAAAGUAACUUAAUUAGAAAUAAUCAAAUUUAUCGUUUCCUCUAGUUUUUGUAAUCAGUUGAUCCCACUCUUAUUUGGUAAUUCGUGAGCAUGUUUACAUUCCAUAUCACUCUUCAAAAAAUAAUUUGAUUCGACUAGCAAAUCGUUCUUUCAAAAAGAAAUAUCAAGAGAACGAUCAUUAUUUUAGAUGUGUUUUCAUCUUUUGAUCAGAAAAAUCAAGUUAUUUCAGAACUAUUUUCCAUUUUCGUUUUUCUAAAAUUAAAAAUUAAAUUUUUAUUUACUCACAUCACAAGUUAUUGCAGGCAUGCAUCAGAAUUUCCUUACAAUUGAUUUAUAUCUCAAAUAACUAAUUAAGACAUAGUAAUUAAUAUGUUAAUUAUUAACUAAAGAAUAGAGAAGACUUAACUGGGAGUCUUUGUAGUCAUUUUCAUAGCAUUAUGAGUUUGUGGGGUGACCUUUAUGCCUUUUUUUCAUAUAUUAGUGUCAUUUAAAUAAAAAGUUGUUAACGACUUUUACAACUUUUGACAAUGGGAUGUUUCAUUCCACGUCUUUGCUAUUCACAAAUUGUACCAACAUUAAUAUAUAUUGUCUGAUUUUUAAAAAAAAUGAUCUAAUUUGAUUUGAUACAGAGUUUAAGAAAAUAAAAAAAAUAUUUGAAUUUUGUGGUUCUAAAUUAAAGUUAUGUUGAAUGUACAAAAUUAUCUUUUAAUAUUAUAGUCUUAAACAUGUCACGUGAAAAAACUGAAAUUAAAAAAUUACUAAGAAAAAAAAAAUAUAUCGUUCCUUUUUAAAUAGACCAAAAAGAAAAUAAGAUCGUUCAUUUUAAACCGAGUAAUAUAAUGUAACGUAUAUAAUUGACGAUAAGUGCCAACUGACACAGUUACUUCAUUUGUUGUGACAUAAGCUACCUCAUAAAAAUAUGACAUAGUAUAUCUUUUAUUCUAAUGACAUGCCUUGCUUUGAACCAUUAUUUCAUUUUUUUUAUUUAAAUUAAAAAGAUAAAAAGAUCAACAUAAGUAAUUAGUUAUGACAGAUCAACCAAUAACCUUAACAUGUAAAUUAACUAUCAAAUUGUGGGUACAUAUAGUAUUGGGACAACAUUUAUGUCUUCUUUAUAGGAAGUGCUUUGAGGACAUUUAUACGUAUAAUUAUAAUAUCAAAAUACUUUAAUAUUAUUUUCAUGAAAAAGGAUAAUAGACCCAAAAAAAAUGACUCACAAAAUUAUGUUGUGUCCUCGGGGGACUCGGGAGAACACACAUUUAAUUGUCCUUACAGGGUGGGGAAUAAGCUUUCACGUAAAAGUUCUAAUAAUCAAUUAAUUGAAUUACUAAAAUUUUUUAUUACGAUACUAACAAAUAAAUGACAUGAUAACUUAUAAAUUAAAUUGGCAAAAAAUAGUCCAUUUUUAAUUUAUUGGCAAAAAAAAUGAAUUUAUUUUAUUUAUUUGACAUUCACUAGUUAUUUUGCUUUUCUUAAAAAAUGUAUUUUUGUUCCCCUUAUUUUUCUCUAAACACGUUAAAUUGCUCCUUCUUUUUGUCUUGAAAAGGGAAAGUAUUUUUCUUCCCCUUAUUUUUCUCUAAACACGUUUGAUUGCUCCUUUUUUUUUUCUUAAAAAAAUAAAAUUUAUUGUUUUAUUAUUCUUCUUUUAUCUCUCAUUUUUGUUUAUCAAUCAUUUUAGAGAAAAUGAUCAAAAGCCCUCCCAAACUAUAUCCGUAAUCUCAACUACACACUCCAACUUCACGGGUGUCCCAUUACCCACUUAAAUUAUAUUUUUAUCUAUUUUCUACCCACCAAAGUGCUGACCUCAACACAUAAACCAAAUAAGUCAAGCUGCAUGAUUUCUCCCUUUUCUUGCUUCCCCCAUUUCUCCCUAAACUGAAAGAAGAACAAAGGAAGCAAAGAAAAUUCCAAAAAUCCUCUUUUCAUCUCCUACUCCACUUUUGGUUUGAUUAUGCAUCGUCAAAAGUAAGAGCAUUUAUAUCAGAUGAUUCUGCAUUAUCAAGUGAUAUCACCAUAAUCUUUUUCCCAGAUUUAAUUUCGACCAAGAAGUUUGCAAAUUCAGCAAAAUUCCAUGUUUGCAUCUCACAACAACGUUGAACAUUGGGUCUGAUUCAUCCAUAUUCAAGUUUUCAUUUGCCAUUUUUUAUGAAUUUCGAGAAAAUUCAAACUUCUAAUUAGAAACCUAAAUAAGAAAUUAGAUCAGAUUACAAACCCUAAAUUCAAGAUUUGAAGUACAAAUGAACAUUAACAACUAAACCCUACUUGAUUUGAGAGAAAUUCGUGAAUUUUUUACUAAAGAAACAAGGAUUAAUGGUGGGGGAAGAAGAUGUAAUGGGUAUUUAAAAGUGGGAAGAUGACUGUAGGAGAAGGAGGAAAUUUUUCGUCGAACUUUGCUUCAAACGCGCCUAGAGGCGGUGACAACACCUCCCAUGACAGGUCAGCACUUAGGUGGGUAGAAAAUAGAUUAAAAUAUAGUUUAGGUGGGUAAUGGGACACCCAUGAAGUUGGAGUGUAUAGUUGGAAUUUCAGAUAUAGGUUGGGGGGCUUUUGAUCAUUUUCUCAUCAUUUUAUAAUAGACUUUUCUCUUUUUUGUCUCCUUUAAUUUCUUGAAUCUUUUUAUACGUAUAUUUGUUUCUCUCUCAAAUUUUCUAAUUCUUCUUUUUAAUUCACUUUGUUUAUGAAAAUCAAAUACAACAAUAUGUUUAUUAAUGGAUACUUCUAGUAAUAAUCUUUUAUAUAUAAUUUUGUUCUUGUCCAAUUAAUUGUUAAAUUUCAUGAUUUGUGGAAUUGAAGUUUUUCAAUUUUGUUUUUUGCGAAAAAUUAUGUUAUUAAGCCUCUUUUUUUUUCAUUCUAAAAUCUUUUUUCAUAUGUAUAUUUGCUGCUUUCCUAUUUUGUAUUGUUUAUCUUAGUUUACUUUGUUUAUGUAGAUCAGAUAAAAUGGUCGUGAUGCUUUACUUUAAACAUUAAAUGAUACAAAAUUGAAGGCAUUUGAAAGAAAAAUCAUUGACCUACAAUUUUCAUAUGUAAUGGUUCACCUAAUUCAUUACGUACUAAAAGACAUGAAAGUAUACAUUGUUUGCCUUUUAGAGAGGCACACAUUGAACGCAUGUUGUUUUUUGACCAAAUUUUUUUAUCAAUAUUUGUGAUGAUUUAAUAAAUUAUAUGUGUUAGUUAUAAUGGGCAAUUAUAGGUACUUAUAAGUUCAAAGGAGGUACGAACCAUGAAAUAGAGUUUUUCUAUACUUGAAACAAACUUAUAAAACCAAAAUUAUGAACAUCCGAAGUUUCUUUUAUUUACACUGGUCUCAAGUAAAAUGGUCAUAAUAUUUUAUUUUAAACAUUAAAUGAUAUAAAAUAUGUAGCAUUAGAAAGAAAACUCAUUGACCUACAAUUUUCAUUAGUCAUGGCUAACCUAAUUCAUUACGUACUAAAAGAUAUGGUAGUAUACAUUAUUUGCCUUCAAGAGAGGCAUACAUUGAUUGCAUAUAGUUUUUUGACCAAACUUUUUUGUGGCCGUUUCUGAUGAUUUAAUGAAUUAUGUGUGUUAGUUCGAAUGAGUAAUUAUAGGUAUUUAUAAGUUCAAAUGAGGUAUGAAACGUGAAAUAGAAUUUUUCUAUAUCCAAAACUAACAUCCAACGCUAAAAUUAUGAAAAUUUGAAGUUUCUUUUAUUUACAUUUACACUAGUCACUGAUAAAAUGAUCAUAAUAAUUUGCUUUAAACAUUAAAUGAUAUAAAAUUAAUGGCAUUUGAUAGAGACUUCUGUGUGUAUUCAACUUCAAGCUGGUAAGAUGAUAAAAGCGUAAGAUUAUAUGUAUUUAUACAAGCUUAUUUGAUUACACAAGUUAUCAUAUAAAUUAUCCAUGGUUACAUGCUUACAAGAUCAUAAGUUUAUUCAAUUACAAACUUUAUUACUAAAAUAUAUAAUAAAGAUUCACAAUACCACGUACUUGUAACCAAUUUGCAUUUCUUAAUCUAAUAUUUAGUUCUAUAUUUUAAAUAAAGGAAUUAAGUAGAAAGGUGUUAAUAAUGUGAUGGUAGAAUUUGGUGUGUUUCAUUUUGAGAGGUCAAGUUGGAUUGGUGUAACCGGUUGUAAUCGAUUUGAACAAAACUAUGUGCAUGCAAAUCAAUGCACUUGGGAAUAUGAAAAGUCUUUUGACAUUUGUCAAAAUUACAGAACGCCAUUAUUUGAUUAUUGAAAAGACAAUAGUAAUAUUUAUUUAGGACUUUUGAGGAUAAAUAAAUAAAUAAAUAUAAGUCCCUUUAUUAUUCGUAAAUUUUACUUUAUUUAAAACGUCAAACUUUUGAUUUUAUUGCUUACGAAUAAUCCAAUAUAUAUUUAAGUUGUUGUAAAUUGUGUUUAAUAAAAAAAUUUGAAAAAUAGAGUGAUGAUAAAGUUGAGUUUGAGAAUUUAAAGAAGGGAAAAGGGUCAAAAAUAUUUUUCAGCAACUUUGAUUUACUGGUUGAUUUUACCCUUACCGAUAAAAUACCCUCAUCGUUAGCAAACGUGUCAUAUAUAUACCCUUGUUUAGAUGGAAAUAUCCAAAUCUAUAAAAAUCAACCCAAUUAUUCAUAGUCAAACCCGAUCCGACCUAUAACCCAUCUCUUAUCUUUCUCUCAACAACUUGAACAAUGAAUUCUUGAUGCUCCAUCAAAAAGGUUACCAGAAUGACUCCGUUAAAGAUAACUCUCUUCGUUCUCUUUCUCUUCUUUGUUAAUUUUUCUAUGAUUCCGACGAGUGCAGGUUCCGGUCUUCUUACUUUUCCUUCGAUUCCACCAAACCGGCACAAAUUGAUUUGAAACGAUGUUUUCUGUCGAUUACGAACAUGGUUUUCCAAGAUAAAAGAAAAUUGAAAUAUUGAAAGCAGGGAAUAUGGAAGAAAAUAUAGUGUAAAAGAUGGGGCGGAACAAUGAGGCAGAAGGGUUUUGGCCUCUUGCUUUUUGGUCGUCAGCUUUGCCAGGAAAAGAUGUGAAUCUACAGUUGUAUUUGUCAACGUUGAGAUCGCUUAAGAGUCGAGGAUUGUCGGAGUACAAGAAAACACCAUCAAAUACUCUAAUGGUGUUUUCUCAUUUAUUUCAUGACAUCUAUGCAAAAACAAUUUGUACCAUGGCAGUAGCUUUUUCAUUUCCGCUAAUGCUACUUUUUCAUUUUUGUUGGUUUAUGUAUAUUCAGUUGGACAUAUCUCUGUUUUUAUCACAUUGCGGAAGAAAGCUUCAACUUUGAAGUCUCAUCAAUGUUAUUUGAUUCAGUGGAUCGGGUUUAAAUUAAAUGAGAGAACCAAUUUUAAAUAGAUAUUUUAAUUGAAAUUGAAAAUUUGGGAUCGAUUUAGGAUAACCGUUAGUUUGGAGGUAUAAAUGACUUCAUUUUACCGAUUGGGAUAAAAUUAACCAAUAAAUUAAAAUUGAGGGGUAUUUGUAACCUUUUUCCCUUUAAAGAAACUUAAAAGCUAACUUCCUUAAUUAUAGGAGAUAAAAAUAAGGAAGAAAAAUAAUAUCACAUCUCCUUAAUUAAUGCUGAUUGGUUGUUGAUUUUUUUAAAAAAACUAUAAAAAGUUGUUAUAUUUCUUUUAGGCUAUUACAUGUUUCUUCUUUUUAGGAUUAUUAAUUGCUAAUUAAACGGACUACAUAUUGCCAAUUGUAUACAGUAAUUGUAUGUAUGUGUCAAUUCCUCAAAAGUAAUUACUAGAUGGGGAGUUGUUUUCGUUAUUUAAUUAGUUCAACUAUAUGGGUUUGAUUUGAUCCCGAUUGAAUCUCAAGGCCUGUAUUAUCGUUACUUGGACCUAUCGAUUAGAUAAUUGCACGGCCUUGUGGGGAAGCCCAAUAUAAUAAUGAAAAAAUUACGUAGUUAACAAACUUAUACUAUUUAAUUACUCAUUAUAGCUAUAGUUUGCUAUAAUUAUCACUCACGACUAACAUUAUACAUUAAUUAUGUGGAUUGAUUUCGAGUUUGUACAAUUAACCCCAUUUGUAUAUGUAUAAUUAUCUAAUUAGUAUAUAUAUACAAUUCAUCUCUCACCCACUCUAUGCCCUCUCUCGCUCGCCUCUCUCAUUCCUCUCUCAAUCUCACUCGCUUCUUUUCUUUCUCUCCAAAUCUCGCUUGCUAUAUAUACAAAUAAAUAUGUAUAAUAUACAAUUAUCUAACCAAUAUACAUAUACAAUUCACCUCUCUCCCACUCUUUGCCCUCUAUCGCUCGCUGCUCUCCUUCCUCUCUCAAUCUCGCUCUCCUCUUUCCUCUCUCGUCCAAUCUUGCUUGCUAUAUAUACGAAUAAAUAUGUAUAAUAUACAAUAAUCUAACCAAUAUACAUAUACAAUUCACCUCUCUCCCAUUUUAUGCUCUUUUUCGCCUCUCUCCUCUCUCCUUUCUCUCCCAUUCUUGCUCGUCUCUCUCUUCCUUGUAACAUGAAGUUACGAAUUGCAAUUAUCAAACUAUAACUAUAAAGAGUAAUUGGGCUAUUUUUAGUGGCUAUAUGUGAAAGUUCCCCUGUAAUAAUUUCCUCGAGAAGCUCUUUUCAACAUACUUAAGUCCACCUUAAAAAGUUACUACAAGAAAAAGAUUGGCAAGUUUAUUGGAUUUUCUUGUGCUCAUUGAGUCACGAGUUAUAAACAUAUAUAGGAAAAGCAAUGAGAAUUUUUGCAUAUAGCCACUCAAAAAUAAACUUAAUUAUAUUUCACAGUUAUAGUUUGCUAAUUACGAUCCGUAGGUACAUGUUAGAGGGAGGAGAGAGGCAACCGAGAGAGGAAAAAGAGUGGAGAAAGACAAAUUGUAUAUGUAUAUUUGUCAAACUGUGUAUUUGUAUUUGUCAAAUUAUGUGUAUAUAUGUAUCUGCUAUACAUAUGAGUGAGCGUGAGAGUGUGGAGAGUUGAGAGAGACGAACUAUAUAUGUAUAUAUCUCAUAAAAUUAUAUAUAUGUAACAAAUAUACAUAUGUAUUUGUAUAUAUGACAAGCAAGAAUGAGAGAGGCGAGCGAGAGAGGACAGAGAGCGAAGAAAGACUAAUUGUAUUUGUAUGUUUCUCUUCUAAUUGCGUGUGUAUAUAUAUAUAUAAUUUAUAUUUGUAUAUGUAUAUGCGAUAUAAUUACAACUAAAAGUAAGUUGUGCGCCGUAUAUAUUUCCUUAUCCGCAUAGUUUUUUCUAAAAAACAAUCUUAAAGUAAUCAAAUGAUAUCUUAAAUUUUCCGUACAACUCAAUUAGAUAAUAUAGUUAAAAUUAGUAUCUAUCAAACAAUUUAAUCUUAACAAAUUUAUACAUAUUAAACUCAAAUUAAUAAUCAAUCUACAAAAGGUUAGGUAGGUAUAUCACACGACGAUGUUAUGAAAGAUCAACAAAUAAACAAUGACACGUGUCAUAAAGACUCAAAAUAAGUAGUAAAAGAAUUAUUUAAAAUUUAAUAAAAAUGAAAAAUAAUCAGCCGAAAAAAAACUCAUUUUAGAACACACAGCCAACAAAAGUGAAAUAUUUUAAUUUUUUUUGGCUACAUCAACAUUUUCUGUUUGAUAGAUACAAUUAUUGAAUAAUUUAAGGGUUCAAUAAAUAUUAUUCUUAAUUAAUGUAUCUUAAAGGGAUAUUUGGUAGGAUGUACAAUAACCCUUCUGAAGUUCAAGAGCCCAAUCUAAACAUUCCUACAAAAAUGUGAAGAAUUUUCAAUCGCUCCGUAAUUAAUAUUAAAUUAGGUAACUAAUAACACAUGUCAAGCUUUAUCAUAUAUAUUCCCACAAAUAAACUGUUAAGCUAUGCUAUAAGGUGCAUUUGUAGAAAAAUAUUAUCAUCUACGACACACAUUAAAUUUAGAAAAGUAUUAAUUGUGAAUCAAAUUAUAAAGGUAUUAACAUAAAUAUAAAAAAUUAUUACUUGAACUAUUUUAAUAUUAAUUUUAAAUUUAAAUAAUUAUAAUUACACUUAUCAUUAUAUUUCAUAUUACUUAUCAUAUUUCUCUGUUCAUAAAUAUCAUAAUUCAUGUAAUCUAACAAUCAGAAAGUAAAAAUAAAUUAGUAUUUUACAAGGAAAAAUAUUAUUCUCAGUAAAUAUUUAUAUCAAAUUAAUAUAAUUUUUAUUAUCACGUAAUUUAAUAAUAUAAAAUAAGCUAUAAAUUUAAACCCACUACGAACAUAUAUUAAUUUAAUAUAAACAACGCUAAAUUUUACUCAUUUUACAAUUUUAUAUGAUGCUUAUUUUUUUUUUUUUAACUAUGGCAGGCGGCCAAUGAGAGGUUAUUUAUUCUGAUUAAUAAAAUAAGAAGAAAGAGGAAAAAGCCGCAGUUAGCGUGCCUCUCUCACAUUUCCAAUUUUGUCACUCUCGACUAAUUGUUCGCGCCCGCCACCACCAAACACCUAAUCUACAGGUAUAAUAUCGAUUAAUCAGAUCGAAUUUAUUGAUAUAUAUGUUCUUCUUAUUGAUCUGAUGAACGUUUCAGUGUAAUUGAUUUGGAAAAUCGGUGUGUUAUCUGUUGGUUUUGGUUGUCAAUAGGGAAUUUGAUAGCUACAAGGAAGCGGAUAUGUCUGGGAUUAUAAAUCGAAAAAUGGCUACCAGAGGCAUUUCUGCUUUGGUGAGAUAUGAACAAGUUUUGAUCUUUUUUCUUUUCAGUUGAUUUUGAUAUUUUUGUUUACGAAUAAUGAAAAAAUGGUUUUAUUUGUUUUUUUUGGGUUUCAGAAUAUGAAUCAGUUCCUGUUGGGAAGCAGGGUAUUUGCAUCUAGAAAUUUUUCUUCAGCAACUAAAGAGGUAAUUUUUCAAUUCUCUUUUGCACUUCAGUUUGCUUAUUUGAUGUUUAGUUAGGUUGAUAGAAAAAAAGUCAUUGCUUUAAACUUGUGUAGAUGACUGUCCGUGAUGCUUUGAAUUCUGCUCUGGAUGAAGAAAUGUCUGCGGAUCCAAAGGUCUUUAUAAUGGGAGAGGAGGUAUAAAUGAUUUUCUUUUUCUUGUUUUUGUUCAAAUUUUCUUUACCUCUCGAGGCAGGGGUAAGGUUUGCGUAAACACUAGCAAAUUACAUGCUUCUGCUAUUUCUUCUCGUGAAAAAUUGACCUGUAAUUUUAAUUAUUAUGUGUCAUUCAGGUUGGUGAAUACCAAGGAGCCUAUAAGGUUAGAUGUUCUUUUCUCACCUUGAUUUUUUUUUCUCAAGCUUGCUCUUUAAUCCUGUAUUCGCUACCGAUUUAUUCUUUUAAUCUGAGUUUCUUUGUUCUUCACCUUUUUUCUUCUUUUGCAUCUGUCAUCAGAUUACCAAAGGGCUGUUGAAUAAAUAUGGUCCACAAAGAGUUCUUGAUACACCCAUUACUGAGGUAGAUCCUUGGGGUUCAAAUACUAAUUAGCUGCUGUUGUGGAUGAAUUUAUAUGUUAAGGUACUACAUAACAUUUUUUUAUGUUGUUUUCUAGGCUGGAUUUACUGGAAUGGGAGUUGGUGCUGCUUACCAUGGUUUGAAGCCUGUUAUAGAAUUCAUGACUUUCAACUUUUCAAUGCAGGUCAGAUUUCUGUUCUCUCAGAUGCUUUGUUCUUCUGAGUUCUGUUAAUAAUAUUUAUUAGUUAUUUCCUUGAACAUAAAUAUGCAAAAACCAUCCACCAAUAUCAUUGCCAGAGGCCCACAUGUGGUAGCUGUCUGUAUUAGUCAACUGCUAAUGUUUAGCUUGUUGAGAUGUUGUAUGAUAUAGUUGAGCACAAGUAACUUGCAAGACGUUGGAUUGUUGUUUUUGUCAAAGGCACGCUUAAGCCCUGAAGCGAGGCUCAAAACUUCUUGAGCGCUUCGCAUAGCUUAAUGUGUGCUUUAGUUGUCAAUGUUUUAUGGCAUACUCUACUUGUUAAUGAGCCUCUUCUGAAUAGGCAACACUAAACAAUUUUCACUUUAUUGUUUUUUUCCAUUUUCUUUGUUCAUAUAUUUGUCAUUCAUGCUUGUAAUUAUUAGUCUUGGACUAAAUAUAUAUGUAUAUCUUUUUUCCUUUGAGUUUUUUUCGUUGAAGCACACACUUUAUUUGCUCUUUGCGCUUAAAGACCCAACAUACCUUAGAGCUUUUUUGCGCUUUUUGCUCUUCAUUACACUGGGAUUAUGUCAUGAUCAAUUUGUUGGAUUGAUAAUUUGAGAUGAUAUUGCCUGUUAUUUCUGUAUUUUCUAUCUUGUGCAGAUUGUAUUAAAUUUAGUGCAAAAAAUCUAAAGGAAAUGUUAAAGUGGGAGGGAAAAUUAGGUUGUAAUCUUUGAGGACAAAAGGUGAUUUUGGUAUUUUGUCUCUCAGCCUCGGGGUUGGACUGCAUUAGUGAACAUUUUCUUCUGCUUGUGUUUCCUCAGGGGCAAUGGAUGCCCAUCAUUACUUCAGUUAUUAAAAGCUUGCAAAGAAGAAUGCCUUAUCAACACAACUAGAACAUUAUUGUGUUAAGUUUGUCUAAAGUUGGAGGAACUGCGGUCUGAACUGAAUAUAACACGACGGUACUAAAUAUAAACGAGGAAGUUAGUACUAGGUCCUUGUUUAUAUUGUAUAUUGAACUAAAAAACUAGGAAUUUACUACAAGGUCCCUGUUUAUAUUGAACUCUGUUCAGUCAUUGUGGUCACAAGAAUCUGAUGUCUCUUGUGGUAAUAUAUAGCUCUAAGAUGCAUGUAACUGUAUCUUUAUCGCGAGUUGCUGGGUUGGCACAUAGGCUUAUGAUCAAGUAAUUGUUGGUCAAACGUAUUAUGUAUGUAACUUUAUUGGGCUUGUUUCCUUCAAAUUGGAAGUUGGAUUGGCCCACAGGCUGUACAGCAAAGUAAUUGUUGGCCAAAUAAUGUACAACUUUACUGGGCUUGUUUUUCUUCCAAAUUGGAAGGAACAACUUCCUCCAAUUGUUCUAUUUGGAGGAAUGGGGAUUGUUAUUACUUUCUCCUGUCAAAUGUUCUUGCUGCAUUUUAGUCUUUCUCUUUGAAUAAACAAUAGAGGUUCUACUUCAUCAGAUCAUGACAUUUUAGUUCUGACACAUGACUAGCAUUUCAGUUAAGAGAUUUUGGUGAAGUUACUGCAUAUUGAUAUCAUUUUUCUACAUAUUGUUAUAUUGUCUAGAUUUCUUGAUUAUGGUUUAUACCUAUGAAUGAUGACUGAAGGUAUAAUGUUUUUGGGAUUCAUGCAGGCUAUUGACCAUAUUAUCAAUUCUGCUGCAAAAUCAAAUUAUAUGUCUGCCGGUCAGAUCGCAGUCCCCAUCGUCUUCAGGGGUCCUAAUGGUGCUGCAGCUGGAGUAGGUGCUCAACACUCUCAGGUAUGUCAGUGAACUGAAAUGUAUCUUGUUGUGUUUUCUAACGUUGCACUUGGAGUUUCCUUAUAGUUUGGUUAAACUAAGCUAAGCAUCACAUGCGUGUAAUGUCAAAAGGCUAUGCAGUAAAUAUUUGGUCUUUAUUCAUUGUUUUGUUUGUUUAAUAUCUCCGAACGGCCUAUCUUUUUUUUUUUUUAUCUUUGCCUCUCAGAGCUAUUGGUACUCAUGAUCUAUAAAGGGUGAGAGUUCAUCUUUAGAGAUGGAUUCACAAGAAAUGAGACUUUGUUAACUCGGGUCAGCUGAGAAUCUUUGAGAAGGUGACGAAUCUACGAAGUAGUUAUUUAGUGAGUGAGUUUUUCUGGAAGGAAAAGUAGUAAUUAAGAAGAGUUAAAGCCCCCCAAAAGAGAAUAUGCGGUCGAGCAGAUUUCUAAAUGAUGGUCAAACAGUACAAAUGAUUAAAGGCUUAAAUAUAUAGCUACACACCUAUUUGAUAUUUGACUACUCUUUUUCAACAAGUGCAUCCCGUUCAAGUAAUAUAUAUAGGAGCUCUCAACCACUUCCAAGUUCCAUCAGCAUUGCCACAUCGUCAAAUCCAACAAUGCCUCCUUCAUAGCUCUUAUACCAAAAAGAAAGGGAUCACAACACCUUAGAGACUUCAGGCCCUCUACAUAUUUGGGUCUAACUUUGGGUGCAAAAUACAAAGAACUUGAGAUAUGGAAUUGGAGUGGUGGAAAAGGUGGAGAAGAGGCUGGAUGUGAUCCGUGGUGGUGGGAGGUAGCAAGUACCCUAUGGAAAUUGCUAUUAUUGUACAAUGGAUGUUUGAAUUAGUUACUCUUAUUGCAAUUUUAUAUACUAAAUUCAUGUAUGUUGGUAGCUUUAAUUUUCCGUAAACAGUGUGCUUCACUUAGGUGCACACUUCAUUUCUUGCUUUUCGCGCUUCCAAGUUCCAUGGCUGUUGUCAUAUUUUGCGCUUUUCACUUUUGUAAACAGUAUUUUCUAUUGUUACUGGCGGUAAUAGAGGAAGACGGAGGAAUACCAGACAUAUAGUCAGGUGUCCACCAAAUCUAAUUGGUGGACACCGUUACAUGUCUGGAAAACAAAGGAGAAGGGAGUAAAAAUGUUAGAUGAGUUUCUCAUCUAUCAUUUGGAUCUCUCUUCAAGUGUUCAUCGUUGCCCAAUAACUAGUUUAUAGUUAUUGAGCUACAUCUGGAC